CCCGGGAGCGGGAGGGGGUGGGGAGAGGCGACUUUGGCGUCCACAGCAGCACGAGCUGAGCGGCGGUUUCCUGCCUCCCUCGGCGGCCUUGGCUCCGAGGGUGCCCGGCUGCCUAGCGUCCCGCUGUGUCCAGGGCGUUCAGACCUCACCUUCCUAAGGUCCUAAAGAUCUCCUUAUUCUCCAGAGUGGCACUCUCUCUACCAACGAGGACACCUUGAGAGUGUUGGUCCCGGCUAGAGGCGCCUCUGUACCUGUGAGUUUAAAGAAAAGCCAUAAAGCCAAUUGCCCACACCGUCAGCAAAUGGACCCUGCCUAUGCGAUGCCCUUGGCUUUUAUUUCAGGAGUGAUCAGAAGCUGGCUGCCGCCCUGGUGGCAGGUGUGAGCUGACUGUCACUUAUUGUCUGGGUAGCAGUUUAUGACAUCUGUGUGGAUUUCACUCUCAACCUUUACACUCACUUGAAUAACAAACUGGGAAAGAGAUGACUCCCGGGAAGAACCCCCCCCGCCCCCGCAAUUUUUUGUUUGUUUGUUGUUGUGGUUUUGAGACGGGUCUCUCUUGCUCUGUUGCCCAGGCUGGAGUGCAGUGGCGCCAUCUCGGCUCUCUGUAACCUCUGCCUCCUGGAUUCAAAGGAUUCUCCCAUCCCAGCUUCUGAAGUAGCUGGGAUUACAGGCAUCCGCCAUCAUGCCUGCAUAAUUUUUGUAUUUUUAGUAGAGAUGUUUUUAGUAGAGGUGUGGUUUUGCCAUAUUGAACUCCCGCCCUCAGAUGAUCCUCCCAUCUAGGCCUCCCGAAGUGCUGGGAUUAUUGGCAUGAGCCACCAAGCCUGGCCAAGAACCCCCUUUCAAAGGAAUUGAGAACAUGAAUGUCAUAGGCCAUGUUCUGAGAAAAGGGAACCUUAUGAGAUUAUUUAUGACAAAUUCGGAGGAAUUAGUUUUCUGAUGGGUCAUUGGAAACGUGGGUGGGAGACAAAGUCUGUUCCAAAGUCUUCCAGGCCAAGGUCAUAGAAAAACUUGUGCAUGUGUUGAGUACUUGGCCCCAUUCAACGUUGCUUUGAAUAUAGUUCCCUAUAUACAAGGAAUCCUAUGGGCAUCUUCUGUGAUGAGAUAGGAUGUGGCUCAGGCUUUAAUUUUUAUGACAAAACUGUAACCUGGAUAUUUUUCUCCUCUAAGUACCUGGAGCGUAUGGGUUCCUUUCUAACCAGUAAGAGUCCUUAUUUUCUGACAAGGGUAUAAAACCUGGUCAUUUAGAGUGUAUCAGGCCAGGUGCAGUGGCUGACACCUGUAAUUCCAGCAUUUUGGGAGGUCGAGGUGGGAGGAUCCCUUGAGCCCAGGAGUUUAAGACCAGCCUGGGAAAUAUAGUGAGAUACCAUUGCUACCAAAAAAAGAGAAAAUAUUAGCCAGACGGGGUGGCAGGAGUCUGUAGUCGCAGCUACUCAAAAGGCUGAGGUGGGAGGAUCACUUGAGACUGGGAGGUUGAGGUUACAGUGACCUGUGAUCACACCACUGCACUGCAGCCUGGGCAACACAGCAAGAUCCUCUCUCAAAAAAAAAAAUAGUGUGAAGAAGAAAAAGAGCAUAUUUGAAGUCAUACAACCUAGAGUCAGACACUCAGUUCUGCCACAUAUCACUGACAACAUUUAACAUGUCUGUUCCUUAGUCUUCCUGUUUGUAAGUCGGUGUAAGAAUAGUGCCUACCCAUAUGGUGGUUGUGAAGAAUAGUGAAAUGGCGUGUGUCAAGCACUCCAGAUCUUACCUUGUGCCUGCAGGUGGUACAAGGGAGGCACAGCAGAAGCAGGCUUUGUUUUUGGUUUGCUUCUUGUUAGUGAUGGUACAUGUUCGGCUCCUGCCAAAAUCCAUGAAGAACAAUGGUCUUUGAAAGUAAUGAUGGUAACAAUCACUAACGUUUACUGGUUAUCUACUAUGUGCAUGGCCUUACUCAUUUGGGUCUCACCACAAGCCUAGGCGAAGAAGCCCAGAGUCGGUACCAUCCACCCAUUCCCUGGUCUAUUCCCUAUGCUUGCUCUGAUGAGAUGAGCACAAAGCGGGCUGUGGAGGAGAAAGUUACUUCCCAGGCCAUAAGGUACCCUUAUGUCUUCAACCCUUAUUGAGGUUGUUGUGAGAAACAGCCAUGUGACAACAUCUCUAAUGGUGUUCUUUAGCUGUUAUUGACUAUGGAGCAUUUCAUUGCCUAGGGGCCUUUAGGAAAACCAUAUGUCAUAAAUUCCUUUUGGAGUUAAAGAUUGUUUCUCUUGAUGGUUUCUUGGGCUUCCUUUUAUUAGACAGAUGUCUUUGUCUAAUGCCUAGAGAUUCUGAUUCAGUGCGUUUGAGUAGGGUCAGAUGACCAGACUUUGAAAAUCCCCCGCCCUUUGAGUCUGAGGCACAGCCAGGGCUGGGAACCCUUCCUGUGGUUCUUCAUCAGCUCCCCAUGUGUUCCCUGAUUGGUGUCAUAAAGCUAAGAUUUGUGCUCCUUUCCCCUAGGUUUUCUGAUAGAAUUUCUACAACCUUUUCAUGUCUUGUCUCUUGUUCUUUUAUUUACUUUCAUUUAAUAUUUUUAGAGUUCACAUAUUGUUUAUUGCAAAAUGCCUUGUCUGCUUUCAGCAUAAAAACAAAAUGAAUAAAAGAAUGGGUAUCAUUGUCCAUUUAAAGUUUUCCAACAGGAUUUUCCUUAAAACACCUCCUUAUUCUUUCUUUCUGUCACUCUUCCACCUACUUUGCUGUUUUUAGUUAAUUGCUUGACAAAGUAAACAUUUAUUUACUUUUAAAAGACACUAAUGUAUUCUAAAGGGAGACUGGCUCUCUCUCAAAUGUCUAGAGGCACCAUAUUUGUGAAGAGAGACUGUUGCAGGUGAAGGAGUUCAACCUUGGGAUAAUGAGAUGGUUGUCUGGAGAGGACCAUAAUGAGUUCAAAGGAAGGUGCUGGAAUAAAUACAGACAUGGAGGUUGUUAAUGCAAGGUAGAGAUUGUCUCAUCUCAUGGCCCUCCCACCCCAUUCCGCUGAGGUCAGUUAGUUACGUCCCUUGCUCGCGGUAUGUCAACGUGCAGCAAUUACUUUGAUAACAAUGACAGGACUUUAGUGUGAUGAACUUGAACUUGGCCUACAUCCCUGAAUGCUGCAUUUACAACCAGCUUUUCUUGCUUGUCAGCAGAAUCAUUGACUAAAAAGAGGCAAUUCCAAACGUUACUGUAAGAUUACAACAUAACAGGUCUGGACAAAUGCACUGUUGAAUUCGCGAAGAUGACUGACUGGGGUCUGGAGGAAGUGACAUUGGCUUCAAUGGGGCACUGUAGAGUUACACAGUAGUGCACAUGUGACCAGCUGCAGGUGUUUGUUUCAUCCUAUCUUCUACAUAAGAAAAAGAACUUUAAAAAAAUCGUUUAGUGUGAAAAAUACUCCCGUACCAUCAGAUUACUAAAAUUAUCAGACUGAUGGAAUGGUUUUUAAAUUAAAUUUUGAGUAAUGUUGACAAACCUCUAUAUUGCUUGAUCUGCUGCUCAUAGGCAUAAGUGAUUUACAGCUAAGUUAACCAGCCCUUUCAUUCCAGAAGUUGAUCUUAAUUCAACCAUUUAUUAAUAAUUUGAGUGCCCCUCUCUCUGUUUUCUGAAGGAAUCAGUUGUUUAUACUUUUCAAGUGCCUGCUCAGGGUAAACUUUCACACUAGAUGCUGUCACUGUCUUUUGAAAAUUUAGCACUGAACUGAGAUAAUAUACCACCUAGGAAAAAAUUAUUAGCAAUACAAAGCAGUGUAAGUUAGCAGUGCUAACAGAUGGUAGAAACCCAAGUUGCCAGGAAUUGAGAAACAGGCAUUACCACAUGGGCUGGGGAAAGGAGGGGGUGAUUCCUUAGAGAUGGAACCUGGUCUGUGGAAAGCCAUAUCCUUGUAUACUAUAGGAACCCUCUUCUCCAGCCACCAUGGCUGUGCAUCUGUGGAAUUUUCCUUUACCUCUUACCAUCACACCUUUGCCAGUGUCAUUUCUUCCACCUAGAAUGUCUAACCUUUUUGUUCUCUUAACACAGUUCUCCCCAAGUUUUCAAACACAGGUUAUGGAGGUCCUUGUCUUUCUUGUUAGGAGAUAAUGCAGCUGGUGACCUUAAAUUGAGGCAAAUGUUUACUUACUAUUCUGAAAACCCUAGGGCCCUUAAGAAGUAUGCUAAAUCAAAUCUGCCUGGUGCUCUAUACAUAGAGUGACAAAGCCUGGAUGACCACUCAUCUGUUUACAGCAUGAUAUACUGGAUAUUUUAAGCCCACUGUUGAGAUCUACUGCUAAAAAAAUUCCUUUUGAAAUAUUAUACACAUUGACAAUGCACAAGGCCACACAAGAACUCUGAUGGAGAGGUACAAGGAGAAUGUUUUCAUGCCUGCUAACACAACAUCCAUUCUGCUGCCCAUAGAUCAAGGAGUAUUUUUAACUUUCAAUUCUUAUUAUUUAAGAAAUACCCUUUGUAAGGCUACAGGUACCAUGGAUGUGGCACUGAUUCCACUGAUGGAUAUGGGCGAAAUAAACUGAAAACCUUCUGUGAGGGAUUCACCAUCCUAGAAGCCAAUAAGAACAUUUGUGAUUCAUGAGAGAAGGUAAAAAUCUCAACAUUAACAGGAGUUUGAAAGAAGUUGAUUUCAGCCAUCGUGGAUGACUUUGAAGGGUUUAAGACUUCAGUGGAGGAAGUAACUGCAGAUGUAAUGGAAGCAGCAAGAAAACAAAAAUUAGAAGUAGAGUCUAAGAUGUGACUGAAUUGCUGUAAUCUCAUGAUAAACGCUGAGCAGCUGAGGAGUUGCUUCUAUGGAUGAUCAGAAAAACCGGUUUCUUGAGAUGGAAUCUAUGCCUGGUGAAGAUUCCUUGAACAUUGUUUGAAUAACAAUACAGGAUUUAGAAUAUUACAUCAACUUAGUUGACAAAACAGUAGCAGAGUUUGAGAGAAUUGACUCCAGUUUUGAAAGGAGUCCUGCUGUGGAUGAAAUGCUACAAAGAAAUCUUUCAUGAUAGGAAGAGUCAACUGAUGAGGCAAACUUCAUUAUUAUCUUAUUUUGAGAAAUUGCCACAGCUUCCCAACCUUCAGCAACCACAACCCUGAUCACUCAGUUGCUAUCAACAUUGAAGCAAGACCUCUGCUGACAAAAAAAAUCACAACUGGCUAGAGGCCCAGAUCAUUAGCAUUUGUAGCAAUAAAGUAUUUUUAAAUUAAGGUACAUACAGUGCUUUGUUAGACAGAAUGCUAUCGCAAACAAUAGAAAACGGUAUAGUGUAAACAUAACUUUUUUAUGCACUGGAAAACGAAAAAUCUUCUGUGAUUCACUUUAUUAUGAUAUUUGCUUAAUUGCAGUGGUCUGGAACUGAACCAACUGUUCAGUUGGUUAUACCUCAGAGUAAUAUCUCUUGUCUGAGGUUGGGGCUAAAGACAAGAUAAUCAGUGUUAAAUUAAGCUGAGUCUAAAGUGGCUUCCUUACAUAUUUUAAGUUCAGCCUAAAAGUUUUUUCAUAUAUAGUGACCUCUAUAAACAGACUGUAACCUACUUGUGUGUCAAUAACCAAGUUUUGGCCAAUCAGAGGUGACCAAUGGUUCAAAUUAUGCUCAAAGAAGGCGAACGUGCAGCUUCAACUCAUCAGCUGUUUCUGUACCUACUACUUCUAUUUUCUGUAUGUCACUUUGCUUCUUCUAUCCAUAAAUCUUCUUGGACUGAGCCUUGGGCCUGGAGUCCCUCUGAGCCUACUUUGGUUCGGGAGGCUGCCCGAUUUGUGAAUUGUUCUUUGCUCAAUUAAACUCUGUUAAAUUUAAUUUGUCUAAGAUUUUUCUUUUAACAGUUGCCAGUGGCAGAAAAUCAAAAGAUCUCUUUAGACUCUAGAUCCGAGAAAUGCCAUCUGGGGAUAGUUUUGGUUGGCACCACUUGGGGAGUGCUACUAGCAUCUACUGAUAGAGACCGUAGAUGCUGCUAAACAUCUCACAACUCCCAGGAUGGGACUUCACAACAAGGAAUUGUCUGGCCAAAAUGUGAAUCGUGUUGAGGCUGAGAAACCUUGCACUAGAGGAACUUAGAAGUUAUUCAUUGACGCCCAGUUAAGGGAAAGUUACUUGGAAAAAUUCAUCUCAGAGGAAAUGAAAACAAAAUAGUAAAUCUGUUUAACUUACAACAUUUCUAUCAGAAAAUAAGGUUGAAGGAAGAGUUCAGCUUAUUUGUUAAAAUGUCCCAUUGCCAACCCUGGCUGUUUAUUCAGUGGGAAGCUGACAUUUCUGACUUUGAUGAGGCAUAACAAUGCCAAACAAAUGACUUCAGGAAAAGCAUGCUCCUGAAUCACUGAUGCGCAGUAUCGUCAUCCCUUUAAUUUGCUUAGUUUUUCCUUGGUCAGGAGCGCCUCACUUCCCCGGUGUGAGAAGGUUAGGCAAUUCUUCCUAGUUCCCAUUUCUUUCUGGAGGAAAUGUGGCAUGCGCAGGCAGGGUUGGGUAGGGGAAGGAGCUCAUGAUGGAAUCCUUAGGGGAUGGUGGAACCUUCUGCUGGGAUCUUCCCUUCAGAGGGUGUGAUCUUGGCUGAGUGGAGGCUAUUGGUGAAACUUAACUGUUGUUUUGUGCAUUUAUAACACAUUUAUUUUGGGAGAUCAGGGUUCAGGAUGUUAUUUUAACAUUAUUUUGAUGAUUAAUGUGUAGAAUUUACAUACUUUUUUUUCCACAGGUGGAUUCUUGCUCUGUUACCAGGCUGGAGUGCAGUGACAUGAUCUCAGCUCACUGUAGCCUCCACCUCCCAGGUUCAAACCAUUCUCUUGCCUCAGCCUCCUGAGUAGCUGGGAUUACAGGUGCCCGCCACUACACUGAGCUAAUUCUUGUGUUUUUAGUAGAGAUGGGGUUUCAUCAUGUUGGCCAGGCUGGUCUCAAACUCCUGACCUCGUGAUCAGCCCACCUUGGCCUCCCAAAGUGCUGGGAUUACAUGCGUGAGCCACAACAUGCCUGGCCUUACAUGUUUUAAUAGUACAAAUGAUGCAUCUCAUGUGUUUUAUUGGCGAGCCUAAUUUUUUACCCAUGAAAAAUUAUUAAUUAAUUCACCAUCAAAGAUUUAUUGCAUGUCAGUUUUAUACAGGCAAGCCGCUAGGCACAGUGUCAUGGGGACUCAGAGUCUAGUGGGAAAGACAGCCGAGUAAAAAGAUAAUAGCAAUACUGUGUGCUAAGUGCUGUGAUGUGACAAUUACAGGGCUCUCUGGGAGCAUGGUUAAAAGAGGUGCCUUCAGCUGAGACCUGAGACUUGCAGGUUAGUAGGAUUUAGCUCUGCAGAGUAUAGGGAGCAGCAGGGGCCAGGAUGGGAGAUGUUAUUCCCUGAACAGUGGUAAACAUGUUCAAAAGUUCACAGGUUAGGAAAAGAACAUGGAGAGUUCAGUGGAUUUUUUUUUCUUUUCUUUUUUUCGAGACAGAGUCUUGCUCUAUCUCCCAGCCUGGAGUGCAGUGACAUGAUCUUGGCUCACUGUAACAGCCUCUGCCUCCUGGGUUGAAGCGAUUCUUAUGCCUCAGUUUCCCAAGUAGCUGGGAUUAUAGACAUGCACCACCAUGCUGCUUAAUUUUUGUAAUUUUAGUAGAGAAGGAGUUUCACCUUGUUGGUUGGGCUGGUCUAGAACUGCUGGUUUCAUGUGACCUGCCCACCUCAGCCUCCCAAAGUGCUGGGAUUACAGGCAUGAGCCACUGCACCUGGCUGAGUUCAGUGGACUUUAAGAGUUGUUUCUAAGAUAAAGAAUUAGGAUUCAGGUGCAUAUGCAGUGGAAACUUUAUUCAUUGGACUGAUCAACACAGGAUCACAUGUGGAAUAAGGAGCCAACAGGACCCAAGAGGGACACAAACAAGAUGGGCAAGAGAAGGGGAGCCAAAAUGGACAAAAAUUGGCAAAAGAAACUGAAAAGACAGGUGAUCAAAAUAAUUGCGACUCCAAUAUGCAAAGAACUUUGACAAAUCAGUAAGGAAAGAGUGAGCAACCUAGUGGACAAAUGGACAGAGGAAAUUAAAAAGCAUUUCAUAAACAAAAGAAAAGAUUCUCUACCUUGUUGGUCAUCUGGGAAAGGCUAAUUAAAGCCACAAAAAGAGAUAUUGUUUUGCACCCAUGAGAUUAGCAAAUUAAGAAUUCUGACCAUCCCAAGUAUUAGUAAGAAUGUGGAGUAACUCUGAUAUGCUGCCGGUGGGAGUGUAAAUUAGUGCAACCACUUUGUAAAAGAAUAGGCAUUAAUAGUAAAUACAGCGACACAUAUAUGCUGCAUGUUCAUAGGUGCCAGGUGGCUUGUAGUAUCAUGUAUAAUUUAAGAAACUGGAAAUAACCCAAAUAUCCAUUGUUAAUAGAAUAAAUAAUAUACUUUUGUCUAUUCAUAAAUGGGAUUCUAUAGAGUAGCGAAAACUAACAAACUACAAUUAUAUGCAUGCUAUGGGUUGAAUUGCGUCUCCUCAGCAUUCCUCUGUGGAAGUCCUAGCCCCCAGGACCUCAGGACUGUAUCUGGAGAUGGGUUCCUUAAAGAGGUGAUUGAGUUAAAGUGAGAUCAUUAGGGUGGCGCCUAAUCCAACUUCACUGGUGUCCUUAUAAAAAGUGGAGAUGAGGACACAGACUCACACAGAAGGAAGACCAUGUGGGGACACAGGGAGAAGAUGCCAUCUGCAAGCUGAGGCAGAGACCCCAGGAGAAACUGACCCUGCCCACACCUAGGGCUCGAAAUUCAGCCUCUGGAACUGUGAGAAAAUUUCUAUUUAAGCCCCGGUCUGUGGUACUUUGUUAUGGCAGCUGGAGCAAACUAAUACAAUGUGCCAACAUGAAUGGAUCUCAAAAUUAUAACAUCUUGGGAAACUUCAAGUCACAUAACACUCACAGUGUGAUUCCAUUUAGGGAAUUAAAAAAAAAAAGACACAUACUUUAGGGACACACACACACAUGCACACACACGCGCACACAUGCACGCACACACACACUUAAAGUUUUACUUUCUUACACUCCUUUCAAAAGAAGGAGCUUAAUUCCCCUUUUCUUGAGUGUGGGAAGGGGAAUUCAUGACUCACUUCCAAUGAACAGAACAGAGCCCGUGGUAGUGUGUCACUUCUGAGAUGAGUCAUGAAAGGCAGAGUGGUGAUCUCCUUGCUCUCUCUCAGAUCACUUGCUCUAGAGGAACCAGGUGCCAUAUUCGGAGAGCACUCAAAUUGGACACACCUUCUGCCCUGCAGUCUUGCUAGAGGCCCACAAAGUUUUGGAGCUGAUCAGAUUCAAGUGGCUGCUGGUAACCAAUAGAAUGCAGUUGAAUCCACAGAACUUCACUGCUGCCAUCUGAAGCGAGGUCAAAAAAAGUCUAGCAGCUUCUGCCUUGGCGUCUUGAAACUCUUGUUCCCAAGACACUGCCUCUUAGAACCCCACAGCCACCAUGUGAAAAGCCCAACUCACAGGCAAGACCACCUGUAACCCCACUGGCCAACCCAGCUUCAAGAAGCUUCUGAAUGGUUCCAGCCUUUAGUUGUCAAGCCACCCCCAUCUGAGUUUUUCUAGCUGAGGCCUCAGACACCAUGAAGCAGAAACGAGCUGUGUCCAUUGCCCUGUCCAAAUGCCUGACCCACGGAAGCAGUGGGCAUGGUGAAAAUGGCGGCUGGUCCAUGCCACUGUGUUGGGAUGGCUUGCCAGGCAGCUGUAGAAAACUGGAUCAGUAAUCAUCUCAUCCUCGCUUGGUGUCCUUCUUGUCCCUGUCCACCUUUUCCAUUCUCCUGCCCAAAUUUUUAAGGAUCACCUCCUAAUAAGUCCCUUUUGUACUAACUUGUGUCUGCUUUGGGGGAACUUUAGCUGAGAGGUCCCUUAAUGCCAUCUGGCCUGUAAGUUGGGGUGGGGAAAGAAGCAAUCAGGACUUUGAAGGAAAAGCAUAGAUAUACCCAUGGCUGAGGAAGUCUGACCCAGAAAACAAACACCUGGGUGUGUCCCUGGCUCUGCCGAAGCAGCCUCGGGACAUGGGAGUACUGGGGUAAAUAUAGUCAGGAAGGCUUGGCAGGUGGGAGUAGCUGGUAGGUGGGCCGUGUGGCCUGCCCUUCAAAAUACCGGGGAAAUUGGUUAAGGGGAAGAGCUGACUUAAUUUUUUUUAGGAAAGAUGAACAAACAGAGGACGAGGAAGAAAGAGAAGGCAAGGCAAGGAGAUGGGCCAAAGCUCUUGAGGUUGCUUUCUGGCCAGCGUUUCAUCUGGGAGAACUGCUGAUUCACUGAGUUUUUCACCCUCCACGGCUCCUCAUUCGGGGAGCUGCUGCCUCAGGAGGCAGGCCUGCUGGAACUGAACCAGGCCUCUCUACCAGCGUUGCAGAGACACUGCAUGGCGAAGGGGAGGCUCAGGAAAGAAAAGAGAUGGGAGAGCUUGCUUAUAAAAGAUCCAUUGGGAUUUAAGGGUAACACAGGCAUAUGCUUAAAAAAUUCAUACAAAUUUAUAUUCUCUACAAAAGAACAUAUAGUAAAAAAUAAAUGUGCUUCCCCAACUCAACUCCCAGACCGCCAUUUGCCCACUGCAGAAGCAACAGCUGUUCCAGUUUCUUAUGCAUCUUCCAGAGAUACUCUGUGCAUAUAGAAGCUUAUGUGGAUAUACAGUCAUGACCUCCUGAUACAUUUUCCACACAUUUGACAGCAUACCAUAACCUGUGAUGAGCUGGAGCUGGCUGUAUCAGCUUAUAGGAGCCAACUGCAAAAUUUUCAGGAAUGUUGUGAGCUGGUUGUUAAUAUAGCAACUGUUAAACAUUAAAUUAUGUGACAUAAUUAAUUAGAUUAAAAGCAAAUAGUCAAAACUCAUGGCUUCCUAAUUAUUUUUCUACAUCUCAACAUUAUCUAUGCAUUGUUGAGGUUAUUCACGUCGAUUCCACUGGUAAGAAUGGAAAUACCAUAUAAUGAUGUGCUAUUUGUGUUUCUUCCCAAUUCUGCAUUUAGUGAGGACUUGUCAGUGGCUUCAAAUUGGUCAUGGUGGGUUUAUGGGUUGUUCAUUGUCCAUUCCAGAGGUCUGCAUGAUUUUUCUGUAAAAGGCCAGAUAGUAAAUAUUUUAGGUUUUGUGGGCCGCAUGGUCUCUGUUGCAGUCACUCAACCCUGUUGUUGUAGUGCACAGGCAGUCAUAGAUAACUCAUGAACAUGGCUGUGUCCCAGGCUUUCCUUGCAAAGCCAGAUAUCAGGCUAGAUUUGGCUCAAUGGCCAUGGUUUGCUGACUCUUCGUCUAGACUUAAGAAAGUGAUGGAGAAAAUAAUAAGAAGAAUUAACUUAAGUAUUGUGUCUGAGUCCGUUACACUGUGAUGAGCACAAAAACUUGGGGAAAAUUUCUUCCAGUAUUCAAAAACUAUCAUCUGAUUCAGCAAAGAAGUUACUUAUGUCAUUGACAGACAAGUGAAGUUCUAACAUACAUAUAUGUUGUCUCACUUCUAUUUUAAUUAUGAAUAAAAGUGAAAUACCAACCAACAUUUAUAUUUGAACCACACACAUUUGUCAAUGAUAUGAGCAACUUCUCUGCUGAUCAAAUUGUAAUCAAGCGUAUUCAGAGAAUUAUUUUGGGACACAGUCAUGGCUAAUAAAGUUAUUAAAAACUUGACAUUGGAAGUUUUAAGAAAUAGCAAGUCACAUCGACAUUAUAGAAUGGAAUUUACAAUAAAGGGUAUUGUAUAUUUUAUUUGCAAAUUGUGUACUAUACAUCCUUUUUAUUAGUAAACUUUGUAAUGAGCUUAUGUACAUAUCUGUAUUUACAGUAUUUUUACAUUAUUAAACAUUUACCAGCACGGCAUUGUACAUAACUGUUCAGAACUUCGCUUUUGUUCACUUCAUAUAUUUUGAAGAAUCUUUUGUACAUGUACAAAUGUGCCUCAUUCUUUGCAGCAACUGUAUAUUUUUAAACCACUUCUAGCAUUUUAGGUAUCCUCCCUAUUUGUUUAAAUAGUAUCUUACUGAUAGAUAUCUAGGCUGCGUGUCAGCCUUUCUCCAUUAGCAGCAAUGGUACAGCAAACAUUCUUUUAUAAAUCCCACUACACACAUUUACAAAGAUAUCUGUAGCAUAAAAUCUUAGAAGCAAAAUUGUUGGGCUAAAGAGCACAGGUAUUUGCAAGUGUGGUAGAUAUUGACAAAUUGCUUUUCAAAGACAUUGGACCAAUCUAUACUCAUACCAAGGAUGCAAGAGAGUGCCCAUUUCUGUGUACCUUUGCCAACAUGGUAUAUUACAUUUUUUUUUUUAAAGACAGAGUCGCAAUGUGUUGUCCAGGUUGGAGUGCAGUGGCAUGAUUCUAACUUGCUGCAGCCUCAACUCCUGGGCUCAAGUGAUCCUCCCACCUCAACCUUCUGGAUUGCUAGGAGUAUAGGCAUGCGGCAACAUGAUCAACUAAUUUUUUUUUUUUUUACUUUUUUUUUUAAUUUUAGAGACGGGGUUUCACCAUAUUGGUCAGACUGGUCUCGAACUCUUGACCUCAGGUGAUCCAUCCGCCUCAGCCUCCCAAAGUGCUGGGAUUACAGGCGUUAGCCACCGCACCCGGCUGAUCAACUAAUUUUUUAAAGUUUUUGUAGACAUGGGGUCUCAACAUGUUGCCCAGGCUGGUCUUGAACUCCUGGCUUCUAGCUAUCUGUCACCUCACCCAAAGUACUGGGAUUACAGUCAUGAUCCAGUGUGCCUGGUGUUAUUAUACUUUUUGAUUUUGGAAAGUCAAUGGAUGAAGAUGGUAUCUUAUUGAAGUUUAACUUGCAUUUUAUUUUAUUUUCUUUUAUUAUUUUUUGUGUGAGAUGGAGUUUCUCUCUGUCACCCAAGCUGGAGUGCAAUGGCGUGAUCUUGGCUCACUGCAAUCUCCACCUCCUGGGUUCAAGCAAUUCUCCCAUAUCAGUCUACUGAGCAGCCGGGACUACAGGCGUACGCCACCACACCUGGCUAAGUUUUGUAUUUUUAGUAGCGAUGGAGUUUCACCAUAUUGGUCAGGCUAGUCUCAAACUCCUGAUCUCAGGCAAUCCACCCACUUCGGCCUCCCAAAGUGCUAGGAUUACAGGUGUGAGCUACUGUGCUGAGGCCCAUAUUUAUUUUUUAUUUUUAUUUUUUUCCCUAUCCACUAGACAACCAGGGGGCACUUACAUUUCAUUUGUUUUGAGGGAGAGUGAAUACUUUUUCUAUGUUUAAUAUCAUUUGUGUUAUUAGCCUUGUGAACUAUUUAUAUUUCAUUUUUUAUUGUGCUUUCCUAUUAAUAUGAAAGAUUUCUGUCCCCCAACUGAAUAUGAGCUCCAUGAGGCAGGGAAUUCUAAUUGUUCUGAAGUCUCAAAUGCUUGGAAUGGUGCCUGGCACAUAACAGUUGCUCAUUAAGUAUUUGCUAAUUAAUUAAUUAUUAAGGGAUUUAGCCCCACUGUCUGUGGGAUAUGUUGCCGUAUUACCUCCCAGUUUGGUACUCAUCUUUUACUCUGUGGCAUUUUUUGUCCUUGUAGGAAUUUUUAGUUUUUAGAUAGGCAAAUUAAAAUUUUUUUUCUCUGGCUUUUAUAUCUUUGUGUUUUAUUUGGAAAGGUAUUCUUUUCUUUAUUUUUUUCAUUUUGAGAUGGAGUCUUACUCUGUCUCCCAGACUGGAGUGUAAUGGUGUGAUCUCAGCUUACUGCAACCUCUGCCUCCUGGGUUCAAGCAAUUCUCCUGCCUCAGUCUCCCAAGUAGCUGGGACUACAGGCACCUAUCACCAUGUCUGGCUAAUUUUUGUAUUUUUAGUAGAGACAGGGUUUCGCCAUGUCGGCCAGGCUGUUCUCGAACUCUUGACUCUCUGCCUUGGCCUCCCCAAGUGCUGGGAUUAUAGGCACAAGCCACUGUGCAAAAGGUAUUGAUUUCUAAGAAAAAAAUUUUUUUUCUCCUAUGUGAUCGCCUAGGAAUUCAUAGUUUGAUUAUUUUUAUAUUUGAAUCUUUGAAACAUCUGGAAAUUCUCUUAGAGAAGUGAUAAAGUGGCAUCGGAUAUUAUUUUUCCAUUUGGCUGCCCAGUUGUUCUGACAUACUCAUUGGAAUAUCUCAUUCCCCCAGUGAUUUACAUUCCACUUGAUCAUACACUGAAUUCUCAUAUGUGGGUGGUCUAUUUCUAGUCUCUCUAUUGCUCCGUCUGUGUAUUCAUAUGCUAGCACCAAGCUGCUUUCAUUAUUAAUGCCUGCUCUCUUAGAUGUUGUUUAUAGCAUCUGAGUGAGCAAACUCAUGUAUCAGUGUGAUUAACCCAUCUUUGGCCUUAGGGCUACAUGUAUAGUUUUUUUUUUUUUUUUUUUUUGCGACGGAGUUUCGCUCUUGUUACCCAGGCUGGAGUGCAAUGGCGCGAUCUCGGCUCACUGCAACCUCCGCCUCCUGGGUUCAGGCAAUUCUCCUGCCUCAGCCUCCUGAGUAGCUGGGAUUACAGGCACGCGCCACCAUGCCCAGAUAAUUUUUUGUAUUUUUAGUAGAGAGGGGGUUUCACCAUGUUGACCAGGAUGGUCUCGAUCUCUCGACUUUGUGAUCCACCCGCCUCGGCCUCCCAAAGUGCUGGGAUUACAGGCUUGAGCCACCGCGCCCGGCCUACAUGUAUAGUUUUAAAAAAAUGUCUGAAGUACUUUCACAGACUUUCAUUUCAUUGAGUUUUAUGGUACCUCUGAGGAGCAGGUGGUAGAAGUUGCCUCCUUUUGCACAUGAGGAAGUUGAAGCUCAGAGAGCUUGGGGGACUUUUGCCCAUGAUCGUUCACCUAAUAGUUUAUAGAAUGGAUACUGAACAAGCUCUUAUUCUUUCUUGUAAUAAAACAUUGAUUCAUGGCAAAAUGCUUUAAUAAACAACUAAGAUAAAAAUUGCUUCAAAUCCUGUAACCUAAUCAGAUGACUGGUUUAUUUCCACAAGUAGUCCUUGUUUAUGCAUUGACUCCCAGGCUGUUUUCCUUAGCUCUUAUCAAGAAGUUCAAGUGAGUUAGUGUCAGAGAGCUUUGAAAAAUAGCCUGGGCACGAUGGUUCAUGCUUGUAAUCCCAGUACUUUGGGAGACUGAGGUGGGUGGAUCACUUAAGAUCAGGAGUUUGAGACCAGCCAGGCCAACAUGACAAAACCCCAUCUCUACUAAAAAUACAGAAAUUAGCCAGACGUGAUGUUUCACGCCUGUAAUCCCAGAUAUCCCAGCUACCUGGUAGGUAGGGGCACGUGAAUUGCUUGAACCCAGGAGGUGCAGGUUGCAGUGAGCCAAGAUGGCACCACUGCACUCCCACCUAGGUGAUAGAGAGAAAACCUCCCUCAAAAAAAAGGAGAAUGACUUGUAUGUUGAGAUAUUCUUAGCACAGUUCUUAGCAUAUAGUAUUAGCUCCAUAAGUGAUAGCUAUUAUUUAUAUUUGUAUUUGGAUUCUUAUUUCUUUGAUGAAGAGCAUGAGCUGUGAAGUAGGACAGGCUUGAGUUCCAGUCUCUACUCUUUCAUUUAUUAGAUGGGUGACAUUGGACAAGGUGCUUUACUUUUCUGAGCCUUGGUUCCCUCACAUGUAAAGUAGUCCUUGUCGUAAAAACCUCAGGGGUUUCGUGAUAUUUAAAUAUCUCAUUGAAAUAUUAUGAAUGAAGCCUGUCUCAGCAUAGUGUCUGGCACAUGAUAAACUCUUAAUAAAUAUUAGUGAUUUCUCAUUGAUCAUUUUCUUCUGAAAACCCUAAAUUAUUUCCUCAUAAAUGGGGACGGUCCCAUGGUUUUCUUUUUUUCAACAAAGCCCGGUGUGGUUAGUUCUUCAGCUAUACUGCAGUCACUGAUAUACUCUCAUAUACCUAAUGACUCUCUGCUGCCUUAUCUGAAAAAGCAGAAAUAAAAAUCGACACAGGCCGCUUACUUUAAUUUAGCUUCCAUUUAUUCUUGCAAAGUCCCACUGGAUUUGUUGGCAUUAUUUGCUAAGAAAGGGUUUGCGAAAUAAAUUAAUAGUGUAAACAAGACUCGGGCAGAGUGCCGAAAAUAAUUAAGGGAACUAUUUCUAAGCAUGCCUAAAUACGGUAGCAGCACCAUCUACAUACAGGCGAUGUAUCUGAGAUCUCUGCACCAGUCAUCUCCAUUCCUGAACCAGUGAUUACAGCUAAUUCUGUACCACUCUCUGCACUCAGUGUGAGUUUGAGGGCAGGUCCAGCCCUGUCCAUCUCUGUUCCCUCUGUGCCCAGAAUGGCAAAUCUGCUCAUGGCAGGUACUCAAAACAUGUGGCAAUAACAAAUAUGUCCCAAGGUCUCUUGCUUAGACACUUGGUUAUUCUAGAUCAAGUGAUUAAUUUGUCUUUGACAGCUGGCUGGAUCCCAUUCCCAGUCAAAUGUUCUGUGGUCCCCUCAAAUUCAACUACGUGCAUGGUUUUGUUUAUAAAAUUAGCUUCUCACCCCAGUUUCCUUUUUUGUUUCUCCCGACAUCAUCAUUUUUCCAGGCUAAAUGCUUGGAGUUAGCUGUGUGUGGUGGCUCACGCCUGUAAUCCCAGCACUCUGGGAGGCCAAGGCCAGAGUAUCACUUGAGCCCAGGCAUUUGAGACCAGCCUCGGGAACAUAGCAAAACCCCACCUCUACAAAAAAUACAAAAAUCAUCCAGGUGUGGUGGUGUGUGCCUGCAGUCCCAGCUACUUGGCAGGCAAGGGAAGGAGGAUUGCUGGACCCUGAGGGUUCAAGGAUGUAGGGAGUCAUGAUCAUGUCACUGCACUCCAGGCUGGGCUAUAGAAGGAGACCCUGUCUCAGAAACAAAACCAAAACAAAACAGAACCUUGGAGUCCUCUUCACUCUCCUCUUUCCCCUCCUACUAUAAGCCACCCAGUCCACUGUCCUGCCUUCCAAAUGUCUGUUGUCUCUGUCAUGCCCCUCAUUGGAUGGCAUCCCUUGGUCUAGGCUCUAUCACCUCACUCUUGGUGCUGAAAUCAUCGCGCUGUCUUCAGCAGAGACCACUUCUAAUUCUACAUUAUUUUAAUAUCGGAUGGUAAUACAUUAUGUUUCCUUUCUUUGGAAAUUAAAAGGUAAGCAGUCCCCAAAGAAAUGUGUAAGAAAAAAAGGGUGUUAGUUUCCUCUCAAUUCCUCUCCAAUUCCACUUCCUUAAAGGUUAUUAAUUAACAAUUUGUGUAUAGUUUUCUAUAUUGUCCUCCAUGCUUAUGUAUAAUUUUUAAAAAAUGGGUCCUAUAGUGCAUGUGAUCCAAUGGAGAAAGGAUAGUUCUUUCAAGAAAUGGGGCUGGAACAACUGGAUAUCACGUAGGAAAAAUAAACCGCUACCCUUAUCUUGCAUUAUACACAAAAAUUAAUAUGAAAUAGAUCACAGGCUUAAAGGUAAAACUUAAAAUUUCUAAAAGAAAACACAGGAGGAAAUCCUUGCAACCUUGGGGUGGGCAAAGAUUUUUAAAACACAAAAAGCACCAGUUAUAAAAUAAACAAUUAAAAGGUUGGGCCUUAUCAUCAAAGCUAAAAACUCCUCUUUGAAAAAGCACCAUUAAGAAAAUGAAAACAGGCUGAGCAUGGUGGCUGACACUUGGAAUCCAAACAGUUUGGGAGGCCGAGGCAGGCAGAAUGCUUGAACCUAGGUGUUUGAGACCAGCCUGGCCAACACAGAGAAGCCUUAUCUCUACUGAAAAUACAAAAAUUAGCUGGGCAUGGGGGCACAUUCCUGUAAUCCCAGCUACUCAGGUGGCUGAGGCACAAGAAUCACUUGAAUCGCUGAGGCAGAGCUUGCAGUGAGCUGAAAUUGUACCACUGCACUCCAGCCUGGGAAACAGAGUAAGAUUCUGUCUUAUUAAAAAGAAAAAAAGAAAAAGAAAUGAAAACGCAAACCUCUGACUUUAAGGAAAUAUUCUGCAAUACAUAUCUAUAUCUAAAACUUGGGUCAAGAAUAUAUAAAGAACUCUUGCUGGGCAUGAUGGCUGAUGCUUGUAAUCCCAGCAUUUUGGGAGACCGAAGCAGGCAGAUUACCUGAGGUCAGGAGUUUGAGACCAGCCUGGCCAACAUGGUGAAACCCUGUCUCUGCUAAAAAUACAAAAAAUUAGCCAGAUGUGGUGAUGAGUGCCUGUAAUCCUAGCUAUUCAGGAGGCUGAGGCAGGAGAAUCACUUGAACCCGCGAAGUGGAGGUUGCAGUGAGCUGAGAUGGUGCCAUUGCAGUCCAGCUUGGAUGACAGAGUGAGACUUUGUCUCAAAAAAACAAAAAACAGAAACAAACAAACAAAAAAGUGCCAGGCAUGGUGGCUCACACCUGUAAUCCUGGCACUUUGGGAGGCUGAGUCGGGCAGAUCAGGAGAUCAGGAGUUCGAGACCAGCCUGGCCAAUACGGCGACACCCUUCUCUACUAAAAAUACAAAAAUUAGCCAGGUGUGGUGGCGUGCACAUGUAAUCCCAGCUACUCAGGAGGCUGAGGCAGAAGAAUCACUUGAACCUGGGAGGCAGAGGUUGCAGAAAGCUGAGAUCAUGCCACUGCAUUCCAGCCUGGGCCACAGAGUGAGACUGUUUCAAAAAAAGAAAAAACUCUUACAAGUCAACAAUAAGAAGACAAUCUAAUUAAAAAUAGGCAAAAGAGUCAGACAGUUCACAAAAGAUAUUCAAGGCUAUAAAUGAGAAUAUAAAUUGCUGAUAAGUACAAAUAGAUGCUCAGCAUUAGUUUUCAUGGCAAUGCAAAUUAAAGCCACAGUGAGGUACCACUAUACAUCUAAUUAAAUGGUUAAAAUGUGAAAGACUGACAAUACCAAGUUCUGACAAAGAUGUAGAGCAACAGGAAAUCUCAUGCAUUGCUGGUAGGAAAAUUGUUUGACAUUUCCUUAUAAAGUUAAACACACACUUAGCAUGUGACCUAGGAAUUUCUCUCGUAGUUACCCAAGAAAAAUGAAAAAAGCAAGACAUAUACACAGAUGUUACUAUCGGUUUUAUAUAACAGGUAAAAACUGAAAACAACACAAAGGAUACACACUGUAUGAUUCUAUUUAUAUCAGAUCCUAAAAUAGGCAAAAUUAAUCUAUAGGAACAGAGAGCAAUUCAGUGAUUUCCUGGGACUGGUAGGGAGAUUAACUGCAAAGAGGCACAAAGGAAUAAUAGGUGAUGGAAAUGCUUGGUAUCUUAACUGUGGUGGUGGUAAAUGGAUGUAUGUAUUAGUUGCAACUCAUUGAAUGGUAUGCUUAAUAGACGUAUUUUAUUGUAUGACCAUUAAAAUCUCGCUGUGUGUAUGUGUGUAAUAAGAACCUGCCGUAUGUGUGAUUUUACUUUUUUUGCUUAACAAUAUAUCAUAGCUGGCUGCAGUGGCUCAUUCCUGUAAUCCCAGCACUUUGGGAGGCCAAGGUGGGAGAAUUGCUUGAGCCCAGGAGUUCCAGUAGCUUGGGCAACAUAAUGAGACCUUGUCUCUCAAACAAAAAACAAACAACCCAAAACCAAAAAUAGCUAAUAUAUCAUAGACAUUGCUCUGGGUAACACAGAGAGACUUAGCCCAUUCUUUUAAAUAGUUGUGUAAUAUUGCAUAGUAUAGAUACAUUAUUUUUCAUGGAGAUUUAGAAUUUUCCCUUUUUCUUAACGAACAUGUCUGCAAUAAGCACCUUUGUAUGUAUGUUCUUAUAUACUAGGGUUUUUAUUUCUGAAAGUGGAUUUUCAAACGUUGCAUUGCUGGUUCUAGGGGGUAUGGGCAUUCAAAAUUUUAACAGAUGUAAAAUCCUGCCCUUUUCUUUUGAUACUUGUAUUUUAUCUUCUGUAAAUCAACUGUUAAUUUCUUUUGACAAAUUUUCUUUAGUGUAUUCUUUUUAAAAAUUCAUUUUUAUUCUGUCAAUAUCUUAGCAGAGCUCUUUGUGUAUUGCCUAUUUGGUUAUUAGAAAGUUAUUUUUAUAGCCCUUCUCCCUAUCUUUCUUUUUUUUUGAGACAGAGUCUUGCUUUGUUGCCAGGCGCCAGGCUGGAGUGCAGUGGCGCGAUCUUGGCUCAUUGCAACCUCUGCCUCCUGGGUUCAAGCGAUUCUCCUGCCUCAGCCUCCCAAGUAGCUGGGACUGCAGACAUGCACCACCAUGCCCAGCUAAUUUUUGUAUUUUUUAGUAGAGUUGGGGUUUCACCAUAUUGGCCAGGAUGGUCUUGAUCUCUUGUGAUCCGCCUGCCUCGGCCUCCCAAAGUGCUGGGAUUACAGGUGUGAGCCACUGUGCCUGGCCCCUCACCUAUCUUUUUAUUUAAGGAAUACAAUGCAGUCUUUGAACGAACUAAAAUAACCUGUAAGGCUCAGCACUCUUUAAAAGCAAAGCCUCACUGGAAAUUUAUAAACUGUUAAGAAUUAUCAGAUGAGCUGGAAGUAGAGGCUGAGGUGGGAGGAUCACUGGAGGCUGGCCAGGAGUUCAGGGUACAGUGAGCUGUAUAUGCAUCACUGCACUCCAGCCUGGCCCAGGGAGGAAGAUCCUGUCUCAAAAAAAAAAAAAAGUUAACAAAAGUUUCACUUUUUGAAUUUACAUAAAUUUCCAAAAAUUGAGAUGUGCCUUUACCUAAAAGUAAAAAUAUACAAAUUAGGUUGUAAGAGUUACACUAUAUUCAAUAGUAUAGUUGCUUAAAUGUAGUAUAUUGGUUUUUUUUAGAAUUAAAAAACGAAGAGGGCAUUGCCAUAUGGCACCAGUGCUAGAUCAAUGUCACUCCAGUGUGACUAGGAAAACAUUCUAUUCAUUCAUGAUGGAAUAAAGUUUCAGUAUUUCAUAUUAAGUAUCUCUUAUGCCUCUACAGCUCCAAAAUCCAGUUGAUCUUUUUCCAUUUUUGAGUUGGAGGAUUGACGGGCCCCUAAAACUUCAUUAAUGGUAGCAAUUUUCUCACAAAAUGUACUCCAACCCAUUAGAGAAUCUGGCAGUUUCUAGAAUUGCUCAUACAUAAAAAUCCCAAUGGGAUGUAGAUGCAUCCUAAGACUGGAAGAAAAAAGUGCUCGCAUAUAGACUGUUCUGCGAAUUGAAUUAGCCUAUGAUUAUGAGACGUGAUCCUUUCACCAUGAAGAGGGGGGUAGGUCCUUCUUUCUUUGUUGACCAUAUACCCAGGAAGCUUCAGGUCCUGGUGCACAGGUUCUGCACUUGGAAGCUGGACCUUUUGUAUUGUGUCAUAAAUGAUCCUUCCUUCCCUCCCGACCCCAUGAAGAAGGCAGAACUUCCCCUACCGCCCCAGUCUGCUGUGUGAGACCUGAGUGUGGCCACCUGAGCUCUCCUUCCCCAUGUGGAUAAGGCCAGUCCAGCACCUGCCUCCAUUCUCAGUGACAGGUCACAGCUAAGAAACUGCAGGGAACACCCUCCAGUCCACUUUGUACACCGUUCCAGACCUGCCUUUCUAAAACUUUCUCUUAAAUUACUUCCCUCCCACCAUCUUCUGUAUGAAGAACAAAGACAUAUCAGGGAGCUUUAUCAGCUGAUCCUCAGCCUGGCACCCACCCUGCCCCGCAGACCAGGCAGCCCUCGCAUCCUGUGACAGCCAUUGUCCUCUUCCCAAGUUGGCUUAACAGCCUCCUGCCAGGAAGACCCUCUACACCUGCACACUUCACCCUUGUCUCCCUGUCUUUUGCACCCUAGAUCAGGGGUAUGCUUGUUCACAAUCCUUCUGGGUGUAUGCUGACCUCUCUUGCACCUGAGCUUCCUGCGGAUCUGUGUCAGUGUUUAUCAAGGCUUUACAUGACGUGUUAUCUUUUGGAAUGACUGUUUUGUGAGCAUUUGUUUCUUGUCUCUGCAUCAGCGUGUGGUGUGUGCUCAAUGGCCAUGUCAGAUGUUCCCCCUGCUUCCCUCCUUGUCCUGAACCCUACAGGUAGCUCCACGAAGACCCGUUUCAUCACACUAUAUGCCUAUAUUUGUAAGCAACAGCACUAAAUUUCUUCUUAAAAAUGCAAUAAUUCAGAUUAAGUAACUCAGACUUGCUUGCUCCUAGUUGUUCUGAAUUCUUGUAUUGAAUUUUCAGCAUUUUUGAGAUCUUACUAGUUGCAAGGUACUGUGCUAUGUGUGGAUGUGUGGUGGUGGCGGAACAUAAUAGCAAGCAAAAAACAGAACAAACUCCAAAAAUAAACCAUCAACUCCCCCCGCCCCCCCCCCACCAAAAUACAGUGCCUGGGUUCUUGUGGCUAAAUGCUUCAUGGCCUCAGAGAACCACACCAGGAGUGUAGGCUUAGCCUACAGAGUGGGAGAUGACACAGGAUUUUGUGAGAGCCUCAAGGAGGAAAUUGCCCCAUUUGGGAAGGUGAUGGAAGGCUUUCCUUAGGAAGCAGUCAUUGCCCUGUGGACUGAAGGAAGCCAGGAGUUAACCAGAAAAGGUGGGAAUGGAGAAGGGAGGAGAGGAUUCCAGCCAGAGGAGUGGUGCUGAAAAAAGGAGGCCACAGUCAAAGGGGAGGAGGUUCCAGGGAUGGAUGGGAAUGGGUGGGGUUGUGUAGUCGGGUGAGGCCAGACAUGUAAGGUUUUGUAGCUCAUGUGAAAAGUACUAGAUGCCAAUGGAUGAUUUUUCUUUCUUUUUUUGAGAUGAAGUCUUUCUCUGUUGCCCAGGCUGGAGUGCAGUGGCUCCAUCUAACCUCUGCCUCCUGGGUUCAAGCGAUUCUUCUGCCUCAGCCUCCCUAGUAGCUGGGACUACAGGGGCACACCAUUAUGCCUGGCUAAGUUUUGUAUUUUUGGUAGAGACAGGAUUUCACCAUGUUGGCCAGGCUGUUCUCAAACUCCUGACCUCAGGUGAUCUGCCCAUACAGGCCUCCCAAAGUGCUGGGAUUACAGGCAUGAGCCACCGUGCCUGGCCCCCAGUGGAUGAUUUUAAUGGGCAGACUGGAACACCCUUUUGGCACUGAAGAAAGACCACCCUGGCUGUCAUAUCAGCAGUGGAAGGGAGGGUGUGGAGUGAGGGCAAGGAAUCCAGUUAGGAGGCUACUGCAGUGGUCCAGAUGAGAGAUCGUGGAUGCUUAUGUUAGGAUGGCAGGAAAGAUGAAGAGACAAAGCUUCAUGAUUAACAGUUAGCAGGGCGUAGUACUGAAUUGGAUCUAGGGGUGAGGGAGAGAAGAGUGUAUACAGAUGCUGAGGUUUCUGAGGAGCAAUAGCCGGCUGGAAAGUGGUGCUGUUCACCGGCGUGUAAUACUCACUGAUAGAGGUCCGGACCCGGGAGGCCAUGAGCAUGACUUUGGUUUUAGACAUGUCAACCUGAAGAGCUUCUGAGAUAUCCGUAGCAGAGGAUGCUGAUACUCUACCACAGCUGUUCUUCCUUUAUUCUUCUAAUGAGAAGUCCUUCUGAAUUUAACUGAGCAUAGGGCUGUUCAGUUAGAGACAUUUCCCAACCUUCCUUGCAUUUAGGUAUGUCUAUGCAAUUGACUUCUGGCCAGUGGGAUGUGAGUGAAGGUUAUGUGUGCAGCUUCUGGGUCAUACCCUUAGUAGGAAACAACUUAUGCCAUGUCCCUUACCCCACCAUGCGUCUUCCCCUAUCUGCUGGAUGGGAUGCAAAUGUGGCAAUAGAAAUUGCAAUGGUCUUCUUGAAUCCAGAGCUAGGAAGCUUAUAUUGAGGAUGGCAGAACCUCUCCAUCUGCUUGGGCCUAUCUAUUGCUGGACUGUGAUUUGAGAGGGAAAUGGACUUCUACUUUUCUUAAGGCAUUGUAUUUUUAGGUCUCUUUGUACUUCAAUCCAUACAGUAUCCAAGGGGAGAUGUCAGGAAGGCAUUUGAAAAUAUGGACCUGGAGCUCAGAGAAGAAAUCUGCAAAGGUGAUAUGAAUUUGAGAACUCUCGACAUGUAGGAAUAAUGAAAGCCAUGGCUGUGGAUGAGAUUGUCCAGAGGAAGAGAUUACAGAAAGGGGAGAAGAGUGGUCUGGGAAAGAGCCCUGAAGAAUUCAUAUACUUAAUGGAUGGGUUUGGGGAAGAUGAGUGAUCAAAGAAAACUGAAAAGGCUCAGCUAAAGCAAUGUGUGGAAACCCAGGACAGAGCAGGCUCACGGAGUCCACGAACAAAGAGUGCUUUAAGAAGGGAGCAGUGAGCAGUGCUGUACUUAAAGUGUCCCUUAGUGAGUGUUCACUACACAUUGGCUAACUUGGCCAAUGAUAGAUGGAGUGUUCUUGUCAAACCAAGGGCUUGUUUGCUAAUGAGGGUUAUUAUUGGCUAAUGCAACUUCAUAAAAACUAUGCGUGUCUCUGGCAAGAACACGGAAAGAUCUAAUUCUUAUUUCUCAAUCCAAUUUUCAUGAUAUAUUAUCCAGAAACACUAAAAAUUGUCAAACUCAGCAUGAUGCUUCAUGUGAAACCCUAAAUGGCUCUUAAGUUUUUUGUUUGUUUGUUUUUUGUUUUUUUUGAGUUGGAGUUUCGCUCUUAUUACCCAGGCUGGAGUGCAAUGGUGCGAUCUCGGCUCACCGCAACCUCUGCCUCCUGGGUCCAGGCAAUUCUCCUGCCUCAGCCUCCUGAGUAGCUGGGAUUACAGGCAUGUGCCACCAUGCCCAGCUAAUUUUUUGUAUUUUUAGUAGAGACGGGGUUUCACCUUGUUGACCAGGAUGAUCUCGAUCUCUUGACCUCGUGAUCCACCCGCCUCGGCCUCCCAAAGUGCUGGGAAUUUUUUUUUUAAUUAUUCCUCUAGAUUCUAAAAAUUCCUUUUUUUGAAAAUUCAAACUUUUAAAAUUUCGGUUAAAAACUCAUAUAAAAUUUACCAUCUUAACCAUGUUUUUGUGAUAGGUAUACUCACAUUAUUGUGAAACAGAUCUCCAGAACUUUCAAUCCUGCAAGACUGAAACUAUUCCCAUUAAACAACUCAUCAUUGCCCUUCUUCUCGACCCCUAACAUUCCCCAGGCUCCUUUCUGUCUCCAUGAAUUCGACUUUUCUAGAUACACUAUAUGGGAGGAAUCAUUUAGAUUUGUUUUUUUGAGCCUGGCUUAUUUCACUGAACAUAAUGUCCCCAAGGGUCAUCCAUACUAUAGCAUGUGACAGGAUUUCCUUCUUUUUAAGGUUGAAUAUCCUUCCAUUGUAUGUACAUAUGUAUGGUAAACACACCUGAGAGCAGUCAUUCAAACAUACCCUGAGAAUGACCCAGUAUAGCAGAUGCCCCAAAUGUAUGUUUUGCACUAGGGAAUCUGGUUGCAGCCAACCUGGAGAUUUGUUCUUUGUCUAUGAGGGGCAUCUGAGCCCCCUACUCAUCCUGUGGAACUUUGGCCAUAUAGAGGAUUGAAGUUCUGAGUUUUGGGUUGGCUGAAGGUUGCCAGGUGGAAGUCAUGAAGGGAAGGGUAUUCAGUGAAAAUGCUAUGUAAACUGCAUGCUGUUUGCCAGCGGUUUUCCUGCAGAUGCUGUUUGUAAGCGGUUUUCGCUGCCACUGGACUGUUUCCAUAUGUAAGGGGGUUCUCCUGUCCAGCCUGCUGCCACUGUAUCUAAGGCCCUAAUAAAACCCCAGGUCUCAUUUGCUGGCCUGGGGUCUUUUCUUCCGCCUUUUGACCCUGGUGCCUUCCCUAAUAGCGGUUCAGCACAGCAACAUACCACAUUUUGUUUCUACAAAUUAAUUUUAAAAGAAUUCACCUUCUAAACUCUUAUUCCUCUGGUUAAAUUUCUUCUAGCCUGGUAUACCUAGAAAGCAAUAGAAGAGAGAUGGCAAAUUGGGUAUCAACUGUUAUAAGUAGAAUUUUCAAUGCCACAAAAGAAGUAGCACUUGGAUAGAAAUGUCUUCACCAAGGCACUUUACUGCUAUAGGAGGGUGCAGCUCACAGAUGGAACAAUGGCGAGUGCACACCAGGACAAGGAGGGGAAGGAGUACUUAUGCCUGAUGGAGGUCGCCCCUACUGCUGUGUCGUUCCCCUGGUGGCUAGGGUUAGACUGCAUAGUCUAGUCUAAUUCUGAUUGGCUAUUUUAAUGGGAGCAGGGGUUUGCAAGCUGGUGUGGUGGGGUGGGUAGUUUGGUGGGAAGGAUGGUUACGGGCAGGUCAGAGCAGGUAGGCAGGGGUUAAAGCAGGUAACCAGAGCAGGUGACCAGGAUGAGUCAGGACAGGGCAGGGGACUGGAGAAACAGAUGUGAACUACGUAUUAGAACUGUCAAAAAGGUUGUUUACUGAAACUAUGAGGAAGAUAAACUUUAAAAAAGAGAAUUAAAGAACGACAGAGCUGAAUCUACUGACAUACUGAUUCUUUGAAGAGAAACUAGGGGUUUGCUAUAUCUAACAUCAAUUUUCCUUCCUCCUCCUCCUCCUCCUCCUCCUCCUCCUCCUCCUCCUCCUCCUCCUCCUCCUCCUCCUCCUCCUCCUCCUCCUCUUUUUAUUCUUCUGACGGAGUCUUACUCUUGCCCAGGCUGGAGUGCAGUGGUGUGAUCUCAGCUCACUGUAACCUCCACCUCCCAGGUUCAAGCGAUUCUCCUGCCUCAGCCUCUUGGCCUCUUGAGUAGCUGGGAUUACAGGUGCAUGACACCACUCCAGGCUAAUUUUUGUAUUUUUAGUAGAAAUGGGGUUUCACCAUGUUAGUCAGGCUGGUCUUGAACAACUGACUCAUGAUCCACCCGUCUCGCCCUCCCAAAAUGUUGGGAUUACAGGCGUGAGCCACAGCACCUGGCCCCUUCUUUUUUAAUCUGACCACCUUCAUUCCAUAAUAUAGACUGGGUGCUCCCACUACUGACUUUCUUCAAGAAAACAGACCGUCUGCCAGUAGUCACUGGCAAACUUUUCCUGCAAAGGGCCAUAUAAUCAGUAUUUUUGGUCUUGUCCAUACCGUCCCUCUAACUACUUAACUACUCACCUUCAGCAAGGCUACCUGUCUCUUGCAUUUUUGUAGCUAUUUAUGUAUUUGUUCACUGUGUGUCUUCCCUGUUAGAUUGCAUAUUUUGAAGGCAGAGGCUGUCCCCUCCCACUCUCAGGGAAUUCCUAGCACCUGGCAUAUCACCAAACAUGCAAUGAAGACUUCACAUGUGACUUAUUUCCUUGUGCAUCAUGUAAUUGAUGGGUACCUAUAACUAAGGAAUAUGGCAUCUGUUGACUGAUUGGCUAACUUCCUCUUAAGUUGCGGGUGUGUCCCUGCAAUGUCAAGCAAUUUGGGAAGGACAUAUUUUCAUAUGUAUUUGCCUAGAGGACAAUCUACCGCUGUAUAAAAUAUUGGUAAGUCAUUUUAAUCUGUGAUGUUUUUUACAAUAAGACUUUCUCAACCAAAUGUCUUCUAACCCCUUCUAACUGUCAGGGGUUUGGCUGUCAAUGAGCAUGAAUUAAAAUAAGAAUUUAUGACAAUUUAAUAGCACUUUGAGGGAAAAGGGCAGAAGUAUUCUCAGGAUAAUGCAAGAGUUAAUGGCUCUGUAUUAACAUGAAAAUAAAAAACCGCUUAAUCCCUCUUCUUUCUGUUUCUAGUGACUUCAGAGCUCUCAAAUCUGAUGUGUGUUGCUCUUUACACCAGGGCCCUGGACCUUGGGCAAGUGGGCUGCCCCAGCAUGGGCUGUGUCCACUGGAGGGGAACCUUUUUCUAAUUCAUACAUGGACUUCUUAAGGGCUCGUUGUGCUAGGCUGACUCCUGUGUCAUUCAACUUUUGUAGAACUUUCAUCUGGUGUGUACAGGCUGAUCUCUUGUUAACUCUUGUGUACAACAGUCUCCUGCCUUGUCUUUCUGAGUUUUCCCUCAAAUAAUCCCUCCUUCAACUAUUGUAGAUGAACCUCAUCAUUCUCAUAUUCAGAAAGCAUCACUGGAUGCCCACACACUCACAGGGAACUACAGAUUUUCUAGCCCGGACUCCAGGCCUCCUCCUCUUGCCCUGGCUUGGCUGCCUCUACCUCCCACCAGACACAUUAUACUUGUUCCACCUGAACUGGACACUGCUGGCUUCCCAGCAUUAUGGGGCUAGUGAUCAGUAACAAUGGGAAAUCUUUCAACUCAGUGUGUUAAGAAGCAGUGCACAGAUCUACCUCGCACCAUUUGAAAUAGCAAUUUGCUUCCGGCUCUGAUUCUGGAGGUCAAAUAGAACCAAUUCUCUGAAAGGUGUUGAAAGCAUUGGUUAUUCACUUGGAUCCUGCAGCUUGGCCAGUGAUAGAUCUAUAAAUGCCAUGAAAAGCCCAGAUUGAUCCUGAUUUCCUGGACAGGUUUAACGGAGUGUGGUAAUAGUCAAUGGUGGUCCAGUUGCAUCUAAAGCCUGAAUGUUGCUUCUGCUGAGCGUCAGAGUCACAGACCCACCCUACAGUUCUGGAGAGAAGGAGGCUUGUGUUGAAAUCUAGACUCAAUAGAUUAUGGAUCUAUACUUGGGAGGUUUGGCAAGGUGCCAUUUUAGGACCUAAGGAAUUAUUUGAGGGGAAAGGCCUUGCCUACAUUAGGAUCAAUUACAGAGCAUUAAGCCAAGGAUUAUAUUCUUCUGCUUUAAACUCUAAUGGAGUUUACUUUGCUAAGUUUCAGACCUCCUCAGUACCUAGGACCCCCUUUUUGUUCCUUACAGUUUCUCCCUAUUCUAAUGGAACUAUUUGCUCCACUGUGGGAAAGGAAUAAGAUAGAUAUUUCCAUUCUGAAAACAGAUAACUUGUCUAGUUUCACAGAUUUACAGAUGGAAAGAAAUUUUGCCCAAAGAUGAAUCAUACCUCAGGUCUCACCCAUCUGAUUUACAGAAUAUAUGGAUAAGAUUUUGGACCUAGAGUUGAUGCUGGAGUGGACUAAGAUUUUUGAGGUUGUAGGGUUGGGGUGAAAUAUAUUUUUCCCAUGAGAAGGAUGUACAUUUUAGUGGUAGGGCUGGGGGCGGGGGAACUGUUAAUUGUGUCCCCCAAGUUCAUGUGUUAAAGUCCUAAACCUCAAUACCUCAGAAUGUGACCUUAUUUGGAAAUCAGGUCAUUGCAAAUGGAAUUAGUUGAGAUAAGAUCAUACUGGAGUUGGGGGGCCCUACUCUAAUUUGACUGGUAUCCUUAUAAAAGGAGGAAACUUGGACACAGACAUACAUGCACACCGGGAGAACUCCGUGAGAAGAUGAAGACAGAGCGCAGUGAGGCAUCUACUGUUAAAUACCUAUGUUACCCAGGCUGAUCUCUUGUUAACUUUGCCCAGAUAUUUUUGCCUUUUCCUCCAUUUUGGUCACAUCAGGAGUCAGCUAAGGAAAACCAAAAGUUGCCAGCAACUCUCAGAAGCUACGGGAGAGGCAUGGAAUGGAUUCUCCUUCAAUAGCCCUGCUUAUACCUGAUCUCAGACGUCCAGCCUCCAGAACUGUGAGAAAGUACGUUUCCGUUGUAUAAGCCACCCAUUUGUGGUACCUUGUUAUGACAGCUUUAGCAGACUAAUACAGAUUUUGGCAGAAUUUAAAGCUUCAUGGACACAAAACUUCUCUGAAGAUUGUCUUUUCAUCCUUAAGUUAAUCAGCCCUAAGUAAAUCCCUCCAUUUUUAAAAAGUUUUAAAAUUAAAUUAUUAUUAUUCUUAUUAUUUGAUGCAGGUCUCACUGCGUUGCUCAAGCUGGAGUGCAUGGUGCAAUCAAAGCUCACUGCAACCUCAACCUCCUGGGCUCAGAGUGAUCCUCCCACCUUAGCCUCUCAAAUAGUUGGGACCACAGGCAUGCACACCACCAUGCUCAGCUAAUUUUUAAAUUUUUUUGUAGAGAUGGGGUCUUCCUAUGUUACCCAGGCUGAUCUCAAACUCCUGGGCUCAAGCAAUCCUCCUACCUUGGCCUCCCAAAUUGCUGGAAUUACAGGUGUGAGCCACUACCCUCGGCAAUCCUUCCAUUUUAAGAAAAUUCUAAAAUACAGAGGAACACAUCACAGAAUUAGAGUUUAAAAUGUCAGUGAAGGUUGGUGUCACCAGAGUCUCUCUCUGAAGCCACAGAAUGAACAACCACAGCUCAGAACCCACCUACAUGGCUGGGCCUUAGGGUUAAGCAUCAUUGGCUAUCUGUUGUGACCCAUAGUAGAUUCUCUUAAAAAUAAAAAGCCCUUUUGCAUCUAGUGAAUUUCUGAGUGUUCUCCAAGCUCCACUUAUGACGUUCUCUUGUUAACUUUGCCAAGAUAUUUUUGGAUUAUUUUCCAUGCUGGUCACAUCAGGAGUCAGGAAAGCAAGUCCACAGUUUCCUGGUCCCCAGUUGCUGGGGCAGCUUUAAGUCUGCCCGCUGUCUGCUUCUACGAAGACAGCUGGGCAGAGAGUUGGAGGUUUCUUGUGCAAAAGAUGUGAGGUUUGUGUCAUUGGCUUCCACGUAAGAGGAUUUUGCUGUAUUAAGAGCUGAGCAUAAUAAUUUCCUUUUUCAUGGAAAGGGAGGCCGGGUGCAGUUGCUCAUGCCUGUAAUCCCAGCACUUCGGGAAGCCGAGAUGGGUGGAUCACCUGAGAUCAGGAGUUCGAGAUCUGCCUGGCCAACAUGGUGAAACCCUGUCUCUACUAAAAUUACAAAAAUUAGCCGUGCAUGGUGGCGGGUGCCUGUCAUCCUAGCUACUUGGGAGGCUGAGGCAGGAGAAUCGCUUGAACCCAGGUUGCAGAGGUUGCAGUGACCCGAGAUCAUGCCAUUGCACUCCAGCCUGGGUGACAAGAGUGAAACUCCAUCUCAAAAUAAAAACAAAGAAACAAUAAACGGGGUAUUUCUAAAGGUGAAGCACAUGGAGAAACAAUGUGUCCAGACUAGUUGUGGACCCAUCCCAAAUCCUUGCAAAUAUUAGAGAAGGUAUGUUAAAUGUAGUUCAACAAAUAUGAUGUUGGUGUCAGAAUCCUUGACCAGGGAAAUAUGGGCAUGGAGACACAUCGGACUUCUCUGAACAGGUUGCUGAAUCUGAUUAGGAAGGAAUGCAUCCCUGAUUGUACAAUGCCUGGAACCCAUUGCAACACCACCCAGGAUACCACCAUCAGCUUGCUCUUGUCUCAGUGAAGACCAUACUAUCAGGUGUUCUCCAGCCUUGGAUGUGAGAGAAUUUAUAAAACCUGGGGCUUUUGGGAUGGAUGGUGCUAAAGUGCUGGAGAAAAAAAUACCAGCUGGAUCUCAGUGUUUACUUCUCCAACCUGCUCCUUCCAAGCCAGAUUCCUUAGUGCAUACAUUUGUUUGCUUUCAGAAGGUUAGGACUGCCUCACCUGCUGAUUAGCCUACAUCACCAGGGUUGGUAGGACUAAUCUGUUCACUUGGAGUGGGUUGUUUUUCCCUGGGGGGAAAGUGUUUAGGGCUUCCCUAUACAGAGAAGGCAGAGAAGGGUGUAAUGGGGAGUCCUUUAGCUAUAUAGGGGUGGUCUCUAUUAUAGGGAGAGGGGAAUUAGAUAUGUGGGAGUGGCUUUAGGUGUGAAAUGCUCUCAGGAGUUGAGGAUGCCUAAUUAACUGGAUUCAUAGAUGAGAAAGAAAGGAGGGGGCACUUCAUCUUUCAUGGUACAAUCAGGAAACAAGUUCCUCAAAAUAUUUUCAACAGAAGAGAAUUUAAUGCAGGGAAUUGGUUGGACAGGAGGAGCUGAGAAGCCACACAGGGGAUGGUGAGGCAAAUUAGAAAUGACUAAGGCAGGAAGCCUCUACCAGCUGUGGCCUCAGAGGUGGGAUUAGCCAGAGACCAGAAGCUGGAGAAUGAGGUGGAAAGAGAAACCAAACCAGGGCUGCUGAGUGGGAGCUGGAAUUGUGGAGGAGGGUGCUGUCUGAUGGGAGAUGGAGCUUCUGAGAUGCUGCUAGAGGCGAGAGGAAGAAAUGGCCUGACAGCUCCCCAUUCUCAGCACCUUUUGCUCACACCAAUUGCUGGAAAUCCAUUUGCCAAGGAAACCAAGAAGGGAAGAGAAGACAAAGGGCCCAGAUGGAACUGAGAGCAGACAAGCACGUGACUGGCAUGACCUUGAUGAAUGAAGUGCUGUGUUGGGUGCCUUAAAGGGGCUUCUGUUAAUGUGGCCAUCAUGGUUGUUGGAAAUCAGAAAUGUACAUUUAGCUGUCUAAGGUCACAUGUGUAUGUGGGUUCUCUGGCUUGGGUUCUCUAAUACCAUGGUGAUUAGGAUUUGCCCUUCUGAGGAGGAAGCGAACAACUGCCUACAUUCCCUGUGGGCAAGGGCUUGCCAGGCUGUGCAUCAUGGUGAUUAAGGAUGCUGGCUGGGAAGGAGCAGGAUGAGAAGAAGAGGGAUACAGUUGAGGAGUUGUACAGGUGAGUCAUGCAGGUGGGUGGUGGCUUAGUGCUCACGCCUGAGCUUCAUGGGCUCUCUAGCCUAGCUGAGGUCAGGUCAAGUAGCCCGCACCCUGUGAUAAAAGGAGGGCCUGCUCAUUAUGGUAACAUUUCUUUCCUUAGUAACAAACUGAGCCUUUGCUCUGGAUUACAGAAAAAAAAAAAAAAAGACACCUCUUUGUGGGAGGAGGCCCCAUAGACAGGCCAGGGCUGGGAGAACAAUGGAAAGAGUGGAGGUGAUGUCUGCCCAGCAGGUACUCCACUGGGUUCCCAGCAGCAAUAUUUUAGGAGCAACCAUGUGAAAAAUGAGAAAGUGGGUUUUGGCCACGGUUUGGGUCGUUGAGGGAGAAAGUGAGGGAAACCUCCAGGUCGUGCCAAGAUUUCAAAGCAGGAGCGACAGCUCUUUGGCCCAAGUGUAGGCAGAGCCCUUGUUGCGAUGCUAUCUGCCAGGCAGUGGCUACAUUCUGGGAAGACAAAGGCAAUAUCAACCCCCAAAUCAAAUCCUUUGAGCUCAUCUCUUUUUGACUUGCAGUUGGAUCUCCCCCAUGAACGACACUUUGUGGAGAUUUGGAAUGGAUUUUCCUGUUGCAACAGUGUUUUCUAGCUGGCUGCCUAAUUUAAGUGGUGAGUCUGCAGAAUGUACAGGGAGGAUUUGAAUUCAGAUAAGGCUACAUAGAUUGCAAUGCUGACAGAUUUAUGCACAGCAUUGCAGGAAGGUCUCCAAGUCACUGAAAAUGUUUCUGAAGGUCACCGUGUUCUCUUUGCAUGGGACAUAAUCUAUGCAAGUUUUGAGCUCUCCAUGUUUUCUCUAGAGUGACGAUUCUGAAAUAGUGUUACUAAGUGGUUGAAACGACUUUUCCUAGCCCUUUUCUUUCUCCUCUCAUUUUCUGUUGAUUUCUUCUGAAAGGAAGGAGAAGCAUUUUAUCUCUGAAGCAGCAUCUAAGCUGCAAUGCCUCAUGCUCACCAUUGCUCCAGGGCCUGAGGGUGCUUUGCAUGACUGCUCCAGUGGAGGAUAGGAAAUGCUGCUUCAAAGAUUGUUAACUUGGAUGCAUAGAAAAUUUUCUUAUAAUAAGCAUUGAUUAUUGAAAAUAAAAAAGAGAAAAUCAGAAGUGGUGCCUUGACUCCACACUUCUAACCCAAGCUCAUAUUCUGGUAGUUUCCUGAUGCUAAGGACAUUAAGCAACAUGCGUGUUUUGUUUUGUUUUUGAAAUCUAGGAUUGAAUACAGACCAUCUAUUUUGGGUCUGAAUGACCCAGUCUGGCAGUGGAUGAUCUCAUUCCAUUGGCCAAUUUGGUCCGAGAGAAGCAUUUCAUUAAUUACACUCAGUGAAACAAUGUGCCCAGGAAUCUGCUUUUGUGCUUGGAGAAAAAUCCCACUUUAUAAACAAUCCACUUUAUUUAGUGCAGGCCUUCAAGAAAACACCAGACACUGAUGUGAUGAAUUACUCUCUUGGGAGCAGGGGCGGGUGAGACUGGGGAGGAGGAUGGGAAGUGAGAACUUGGUCUGUUUACCAGAAGACAGCAGUGCACGGAUCUGCCUGUGCUCUGUACCUCAUUGUCUAGGAUAACAGGAUUCCACAGCCUUGCCCUGACAGGAGCAACUUGGCACUUAAUCGCAAGUUGAUGGCCCACAGUCCUUCCAAGCAGGCACAUGGAUGACAGGCAGGCUCACCCAUGGUGCCUGCAGGCCUUUCCUGGUCUCUCAACUUCACUCCUUCAACAAGUGUUUGGCAGAUGCCUCCUUCUUGUUACCUUCUGUAAUAGGUGCUGGGGAUACACUGGGAGAAGGUUCUUGUUCUUAAGGAACCUCUGAUCCUACAACAAGCCAGUGAUUACAGGAGAAGUGGUAGAAUGUGGGGGAAUUCACAGUGUGGAUUCACAGCGUGAGCACACAGAGGAAGGAUAUUCACCAUGGGAUGGGGAGUGGAGGCUGUUGAUUAGCUGUCAGCAUUCAUUCUUUGGAACUCUGUUGACCACUGCUUCUAUAUUUGCACAUAGUUAGUUCUAAUUUAACCAUGAAUUUUUGGAAAACCAUGAUCACAGAGUUUCUUUCUCUGUCUUUCUUAUCUCUUUUUCCUUUCUCUCUCCUUAGGAACAGCAGUCUUUUUAAAGUUAGCCCAUAGGAUUGGGAUCAAGCCAGAGCUUCCAAACAGUGUUGGAGAAGGUAGGAUGUGGAAAAGCACCUGAGUCUGAUGGUGAAGUUAGAGCCCAGCGUGAUUGGAAACAGGGCAUAAAGAUAGGUGAGGCGCAGAGGCUGAGGAGCCUGGAGGUCAGGAGGCCUGCAGAGGGUAGAAGAACAGAAACAGGGUCGGGAAGAGUGCCCUCCUCCCGCAAUAAGACCUGUUGGGCACCAAGGCAGCCUCCUGGCCUGACCUGCACACUCCUCACACACUCACUUCCCAGCAGGAGUACUGGUCCCCGGAGCUCCCCUGAGGCCUGCAGGUAGGAGCUGGGGAAAAAUGAGGUCGGUGUGAGAAGUCCGUACAAGCAUGGACAGGCCUGGACUCUCAUUUGUGCUAUUUCGUGGUUUCUUUCCUGGCUCUACUCAAGGAAGUCCUGCAAACUUCUGAUGAGUUUGGUUUUGCGGUAACUUCUUAGAGAGCUCACAGCAUCAAGGAAGAACAUUUCCUCAGGAUGCUGAGGCGUGGACUGGCUUUCAUCUCAAUUUUCUUUAGCGGAUUUCCUUCAAUAUCGUUUUUCUCUUUUCCUUUAAAAAAAGAAUAUGCUGUUUGUUUGGUCACAUGGACUUGUGGUUACUCACCCGUGGAAGGAGGCCACCCCUCGAGACUCUGGCAAGAGCAGGGGAAGUUCCUUUCAAUACCAGCCCUGAGAAAUUCUCAUGAUCCUGGUUUCCAUUUUGGUCAUAUUGAAGAUGAAAGGACUCGAUCCAGCACUGAGGAGGACUGUAAUUUUGAUUCUGAGGGAGGCACAGCUAGAUGAAAAACCAGGCUAACCUUUCAUCUGGAGUGAGAGUGGAGAGGCGCAUCCGGCUACAGAUCGAGCAGCCCUUGGUGUGAGGAAUUCCUGCUUCAGGCCCCGUCUCGAAAAUCAAAGCCUUGCAGCUUUCACAGCGAUGUCUGAACCAGUCACUGAAAAGAGGAUGCAAAUAUCUUUAUUUAGACUGACGAAUCAAAGCUGGCUCUGGGGUGGUGUCAUCUUUCAUUGAGAUACGCAGACUAUGUGUAGGAGAGUUCUUCACUGGCCAUAAGUCCAAAGACAUCUGGAUGCCGUAGGAUCCUGAAUAGCUCUUGUGCCUUUGUCCUGUCCUUCCACUGCAUCUCACAAGCCAAGCCAAUGACACAGCUGUGUCUGGAGGGGACACCGAGCCUGCUGCCAGCACUUGCUGUCAGCCCAGGGGUGGAGUCAAGACUGAGUAUGACAAAGGGACAGAUGGAAAGUCCUCCGUGACACUCACUACUGAUCACACUGCAUCUGGAGCUCACCCUGUCUCUGGGUUCCUGGUUACAGAGCCCCCGUCUGUGUCGUCGCCGCCAUACCCGAAUCACAGAAAGGACUCGUGGGAAGGAGGGAGUGGAGACUCUAGAAGACACCCAAGGGCUGUCCUCUGACCAGAAUCCCAUGAUGUGAGGUCUGACUGCCCAAAUCUUGUGAAGACUUACGACUGUUUUAAAAAAUUCCUUAUAGAAAAUGGAAGAAACAAGGAAAAUGGAGGAAACGAAGGGAAAUCUCUAAUCCCAUAGUGGUAAUAUUACCCUCUAUGUGUGAAAUGCAUUGAGGUUACAAAGCAGUUAAUACCUGCUUUGUCCUUAUCAACCCUGUCUGGUGGAUGGACUAGGUAUUAUUAGUUCCAUUUCACAGAAGGGGACAGUGAAGGUGAGCAUCUUGCCCAAAGCCGUUCAAAGAGUAAAAUUUGGAGACAGAACAUAAAUUCUGGUUCUGGAGCUGCACGGUGCUCGUGCUCUCCAUUUUUACCUGGGGCCUCUUCCUUGAUAAAAACACUGAAAUUCUUCUUCCAUCACCUGGUGGAGGUGGGCUGAGAGCUGAGGUCCCCACAGGUGUGUGGCACUGGGAACACAUCCUCUGUCCCCUCUGCUCCUUCUCUUUCCCCUCCUCUCCGUGAAGGACUGUGCUGUGAUUUUGCCAGGUAGAAGGCAGCAACACCCACUCUGGCGGCCCACAAGGCCGCAAAGCCAAACAGAAAGUCAAAGCCGGCUGUGUUUCUACCACCUCCAGGGUGCCUCCAUUUAAAAUUAAAGCUCAGCAUGUUGUCUUUGAAAAAUUCACAGUUUAUUAUAAAGGCAGAAGAAAAGCUCUUGCCCUAGCGAUUAAGUUUUCAGAAGGAUCACCUUGUAGCCAGGCUGUAAAACCGUGGCUGCUGGAAGGCUGGAGUAUUUAAAGAAUGUGAGCUGAAGUGGUUUUUCUUGAGUCAUUUUUUUCAUUUGCACGGUGCUAAGACAUUUGCCAUGAGAGGGGCAUUUCAGAGCUUUCAGGCCAACUGCAAUAAACUGGUACACAACAGCCUGCCAUUGAAGUGCGGAGUUUCCUAUCUAUGCUUAAGGGUUAUUUGCACUCCCUGUCACCAUCCCUGCUUCUUAUUGCUCUGGAAUUUCUGCUCUUCAGCUAUGGCAGAAAAAGUAGCUGGGUCGGGUUGGGGUUUGGAAACUGGUCUGACCUUUACUCUGAAUUGUUGGCUCCCAGGGUCCCCGCUGCCCAGGAAGCUUCUGCCUGAGACAUGUGGAGAUAAUGACUUCAAAUAUGGAUUUAAAAGCCUCCGGGAGCAGCAGUGAGGUAUUAUUUGGUCUCUGAAACUGCUUCUUGGUUAAGCUCUAGUUCCAAGCCAUCUGGGUCACAUUUCCUGUAGGAAAACACAGAGAACCCCUGUCUUCUUCAUGGACAUGCUCCUCCCAGCACUGUCUUUGCAGAUCAGCACUUCUAAGAGUUUUGAGGAAAUCUGUGAAGGCUCAUGCUAUGGCCAAAGUAAAUCAAAUAGGAUAAAUGAUCACUUUUUGGAGUCCUCUCUUCAUUAGUUUGGGAUGAGUGACAGUUUACGCUGGGGUGAGUUAGAAGCAAAAGGGGCAGCCUCUAAGUUGGUCCCCAUGAUCCCCUCCUCCUGAUAUUUUAACUUGGGUAUAAUCCCCACCUCCUGAACGUGUGUUGGGGGUUCCCUGUGACUUGCUUCUGACUGAUGGAAUAUGGCAAAGGUGAUGACUGUGUGACUGGAUUGCAUUCCACAUUUAAGGCUGUCAUCCUGGCAAGUCACUCUGACUCUUGUGCUAGGUUUGAGGAGGGAAGCUGCCACAUUGUGGCCUGCCUUUGGAGAGGGCCACGUGGCAAGGAACCGAGGGCAGCCUCCAACUGGCAGGCAGCAAGACAUCAGAAGCUCUCAGUCCUACAGCUACAGUGAAAGACAUUCUUCCAACAACCCAGAUGCGAGAACAUAGGGACACAGGAAUAGAAUGACUUGUCCAAGGCAGUUGGUGGGCACUUAGAUAAGGAAGACUGUACUCAGUACCUCACCUGCCCUGGCUAUGAAGAGGACACAGUCAGUAAGUGGCUGUCUGCAAGUCAGGAAGAGAGCCCUCACCAGAAGCUGAAUUGGCCAGCACCUUGAUUUUGGACUUCCCAGGCUCCAGCCCCCACCCAGGAACUGACUUGGCACAAGAGGACAACUUCAACUUCCCAUGAUUUCCUGGCUUUACUGGCUUUCCCCACUCACUAGUUGUCUUUAAACACUCUGAUCCCUGAAUUCUCUGAGAGACUGAUUUGAGUAACAAUAAAACCCUGGUCUCAUGCAAAGCUGGUUCUGUGUGAAUUACUCUUUCUCUAUUGCAAUUCCCCUGUCUUGAGAAAUAGGCUCUGUCUAGGCAGCAGGCAAGGUGAACACAUUGGGCAGUUAUAGUCAUGGGAAAAUGAGAGGACUAAACUAAUAGAUUUCGUUUUCUCAGUUAAGUAUAAUUAAGCAGUCAGGAGCCUCAAGUAAAGGGCCAGGGGUUGGGAAUAAGGAGGAGAGGUGAGAAGUUUGAGGAGUUGAGAGAGGGUGUGGGGUUGUUAUUGGAGAAAGAAGGAGAGCAAAAUUAUUAGAGAGUGUUGUGAGUUAGGUGCAGCAUUGUGUGUCCAUUGGAGGGUGACAGUGAUGCAUUUAUAGCAACUACUAAGGUGUGUCUUUUGUCCCCAUUGCCAAGGCAUAGAGGCAUAGGCACAGCAAAGAGAAAGGAGAUGGUGGGCUUCAUCCUGGCCUGGGGAUUUGCAGGUCUUUGGUGAUUUCACAAGAGCAGACUUAAUAAAGGUGGAGGGAAGAGGCUGAAUUGUGGGUUGAGAUCUCAACAGGAGGUGUGGGGACCUGGAGGUGGGCUGCUCCAUCUCCCUUGGGAAGAACCUGGCUGACAGCCUCCACAUACCACACCUUUGAUUCCUUCCUGAACCCUUAACAAGAGCCUGCUCUCCCAGGCUACUCCCAGCAAAUGACUGUGGGUACUGAUGUAACAGUGGAUUUACUAUGGAGUUUUAAAAUAAUAUUUGUAUUAAUUUCCCAUGGCUAGGUAAAAAAUAAUGACUACAAACAUAGUAACUUAAAACAACACACACUUAUCUCACAGUGUCCAUGGGUCAGGAGUCUAGGCAUGCUUAACUGGCAGUCUCACAAAGCUGCAAUCAAGGGAAUGGCUGGGGCUGGGGUCUCAUCUGAGGCUCAGGGUCCUCUUCCAGGUACAGGCAGUUGUUGGCAGAAUUCAGUUCCUUGCAGAGGUAGAGCUCACGGCAGCUUGCUUCUUCAAGGCCAGCAGGAGAAGAGUCCCUUAUCUUUGGACCAGCUUUGAAAGGCCCACCAGGAUAAACUCCCUUUCAGUUAAAGCCAACUGAUUAGAGACUUUAUGACAAAAUCUCUUCAACCUUGCCAGAUAACAUAGCCUGAUCACUGGAGUGACACCUGUCAUGUUCCAGAUCACCCAGACUUGAGGGAAUGACACAGGCAUGCUCACCAGGAGAACAGCAGGCUCGGCCGUGGUAGAGUCCUGCCUCCCACCACAUUCAUACAUGGAGAAGUGAAAAAAAAAGCACUUCUUUUUCUUUUCUGAUUGCCAAAGGAACAUGAAUUCAUAGGGUAAAAUCUAGAAUCUGUAGAGAUGUACAAAGAAAGAAAUUAAACUCCGCUCAUCACACUCCUCCCCCUAAAUAUAAACACCAUUAUAAUUCUGAUUUAUUACUUUUAAUAUAAUGGGAUCAUCAUUUAGAAGGUUUUUUUUUAAAAAAAAUUGCCAUUAGAUUAAAUGUUUUUUUGAAAAGAAUAAGAAUAUGGGUCCCAGCACUCCAUUAUGUGACUAUAGAGUGGUUUGAUUUAUUAACUUUUUCCUUUACACUUUCGUUGCUUCCAUUUUUAGCUACUGCAGAUAAUGUUGAUGAAUUUGCUCCAGCACAUUUAAGUGCUUGUUCAGAGCUCACUAUUCACUCAAAGCUUUGGGGCAGAAAUACUUAAAGUGAUAGGGUCAGAUGGCAAUAAAAAACAAUCAAUCAGAAAUGAAAAGCAUCCCCCACCUGAACAAGUUAUGUGAAAAAUCAAAUUAGUUUGUAUUUGAACACAUUUUUCUUGCAAGUAUUUAUUGAGAAAAGUGAGAUGACCCUAGAGGGCUCCGGCUUAGGGCUUCUUGAGAAUGGAGAUGGUGUUUGUCUCAGAUUACCAAUGUUAUAGUGAACCCCAAGUUUCUCUUCAAAGAAUCAGUAUAUCAGUAUGCUCAGCUCUCUUAUUAUUUAUCUAUUUUGAAGUUUAACUUCCUUAUAAUUCCAGGAAACAACCUUCUCCACCAGUUCUAAUCAGUGGUUCACAUCUCUUCCCCCUGGCCCCCAGCUCCAUCCUGACUCAUCCCAGUCACCUGCUCUGGUCAUCUUCUUUGACCUAGGUCGCCCCUCGAUACCUGCUCUGACCCACCCAUAACCGUCCUUCCCACCAAAACACCCAUCCUGUCACUUCAGCUCUGACUCCUCUCUCUUUAAAAUAGCCAAUCAGGAUUAGCCUAGUUUGUAUGGCUUAACCCUAGCCAAUAGGGAAAUGAAAGAGCAACAGGGACGACCCUCAUCAGACAUAAGUACUCUUUUCCCUCCUUGUCCAAGCAUGUGGCCACCAUUGCUCCAUCCAUAUGCCGCACCCUUCUAUAGAAGUAAACUGCCUUGCUGAGAGGAUUUAUCUUCAAGUGUUAUUUCUUUUGCAGCAUAGAAAUUUUACUUAUAGCACCCAGACUCACAAAAUCACUGCCUGGUGCAAGGAUUAGGUUAUGCCAUCAAUAUGGUUUCACAGCAGCUCCUGGAACAAAUGUUUAAAAUGAGAGGAAAGGGAUGAGAAAAAAGUGAAGUUGCACCAGGAAUGGGCAAGAAGGCAGAGUUGAAGGAUGGGAGCAAGAGGUUCAUGAUGGAAGAGAAAAGAAAAAAAUCCCUUUGCUGGGAGAUUUGGUGGCUGAGCAGACUGUCCUGGGCUGGCAUAAAAGCUGCCUAUAGUACUGAGCUCAGUAAAGGGAUUUAAAACCCAUUGAUCUUGGUGGGCUUGGGUUUAGCCUUGGUGGUUGGCUUACUUCUUCUUUUCUCCAUGGUAAACUUUUGUCCCUUUUUGCACAGUGGGGACUCCAGGCCAUACCAAGGCCUGUCAUUCUGUGCUGGGUUUGGUGCACCAUGACUUGGCCUUGGCAUGGGGUCCCUGGCAGUGCUGGCUGGGCCUUGUGUCCAAGCUCACUGUUUAACUUCACUGUAGAAUGGGAGCUCUGGGAAGGCAGUGUACUGUUUGUACUUUUGAAAUGUUCUAGGAGUGGAUGUAUGUGUGUUACAGUAUAGAACAUGGACAUGCAAGACCUGGGCAAGAGCCGGAAUGCAGGGCUAGGUAUAACCGAGUUGCACCAAAGGGGGUUCCUGCAGCUGAGUCACUGGGAAAUGCUAGGGGAGCUGAACCUUGGCACACUGAUACCUGACAUUCUGGGCACCACAUCCCUGUUCCCUUCCAGGUUUAAAGGGAUCCAUUUCUCCCCAAGCCUUUUGCUGUGCUGUCUCUCUUAGGAACAAAUUGCUACUCCCCCUUAAGUGGGCAUACCUGUCUGGUUUCCCCUGCUCUCUCUGUCUCUCUGUCUCUCCCCUCUUCUAAAAAGCUCUCUCUAGAGUAAUUGUGAGCUAGGCAGAGCCAGUUCACAAGCUAAUUAGUGCCCAGGGCAUCCAGCAAAGGAAGUAUUGCUUUUUCUUUCCCUUUUGUAGUGAUGGCGAGAACCCUAAGCUGGGUGAGGCAAGUGUGAAUGUGAGUUUUGGGAAGAGUGACCACUGGUGAUCUGUCCUCUACAAAUCUCCAGGAAGUAGCUUUGCUCUCAGGGCUUCAACAAUCCUGUGCUUCUCAUGUUUACAACCCUCACAGGACUGAGCAUAGGCAAAACCAGUGGUUCUUCAUCAGGGAUGUUUGGCAACAUCUGGAGACAUUUUUGACAAUCAGUCCUGAUGUGAGGUGGGGAAUGUGUGCUCCUGGCAUCUCAUGGGCACAGGCCAGGGUACCUGCUGGGAACCCUACAAUGUAGUGUUACAGGAGUUGUUAAGAAAUUAUUUUAGGCAGGUAGAGAGGAAGAGGGGUCCUUGGAAAGUUGUUUCUUUUAAUGCAGCUCCAAAAAUGUUUCUUCUCUAGCAGGAAAGCCCUGGCUCUGAGAGCCAGGCUGGCAACCUUUGAUGUGUCAAAUGCCAGCCAUUAGAAACUGGGUCCAGCCAAACAUGUCCAUUCCCACUGUCUUCUUCUUGUCCUUGCCCCGACAUGUGCCUGGCAACAUGGCUGCCCCCACAUAUCCCCACGUGUGUAGAACAUCAUGGUGCCCUGCAUUUACAUAUUAAAAGGCUAGGGUGGGAGGGCCAGUUUUUUCAUGGGCUGUGUGAAUGACAUGCCUGGUCAAACCAAUCCCCUGAGCCUUAUGCAAAUCAGACACCACCUCCUCCAGCGUCCUCAUAUAAGCAGCUGCUUUUCUGUGGCACACGAGGUCUCCUCUCUCAGUUUUGGAGCCCCCCAUCCUCUGUCUCUGUACAAGGGAACUUCUUUCUUCUCCCUUCUUUCUUGUCUGUUAAAGUCUCUGCUCCUUAAAGCCACUCCACGUGUGUCCGUGUCAUUUUAUCCAAUUCCCACGAGACAAGAGUCCUGGUGUUUCUUCACUCAUUGGGGCCGUAUCAACAGGACAGCCCCUCCCUCAACCAAUAAUUAUUCUGCCCAAAAUGUCAGUAGUGCCAAGGCUGAAAAAUCCUGAUAUAGACCAAAGUAUUUAUUACUACUGUGACCGGGAAGCCUGGGUUCUGGCCUUAUAGGAGAGAUACCAAAGUGUGCGUGGACACCCUCUGCCUGAACUCUAUUUAGGGCAAGAACCAUGCCCUACUUUUCCACAUUUUCCUAGAGCAAGAUCAGUCAAAUUCAGAUGUCCCCAAUCCGAGAGAAAAGAAACAAACAAAUGUCCACAUCUAUUUGGUCAGGGUUUUAAGCCUCAUGGAAACACAUAUUCAUUUUCAUAACAAUGAGGCGUGGGAAGCAAAGGCCUGGCAUAGCCUCACCAAGAGAAGAGUGCUAAACUGUCAGACCAAAUCUCCUCCCCAUCCUUCAGAUGCCUGCGCCUUGCUGGUGUCCAGCAACACCUUCUCAACUCACGUCUCAACUGGUGAGUUGGUCAAAUAGUAACUGCGCAGGAGGCCUAUCCUUUCCUGGCUAGAGUUGGAACCUAUUUAAUUCCUUGUAUCCUCAGUUUUCUCAUCUAUAACAAGAGGACGGUGGCAUCUGCCCUGGAUAAUUCAAAGGGUUGUUCGUUCUUAUUUCGAGGGGGCAUAUUUUAACAUCCAACUUUACAUGACCAAGUAACAAAGUUUGCAAUGUACUUUUGAAAGCAUAAACUCUGGAAGAGAGGUGCGGAGAAACAGUAUCCUUGGGGUACUAAAGAUGCACUCAGGCCUGGGUAUUCAAAUUGUGAUCUGCGAAUAGACCAGCUGCAUGGCUACCCUUGAGAGCAGGUCAGAAAUGCAGAACCUUGGCCCCACCUCAAGCCCACUGAGCCAAAAUCUGCCUUCUAACACAAUCCCACCGGAUUCCUGUGCAGGUUUGAAAUCUGAGAAGAUAGCUACAUCUUCUGAGCUUAUUUACACUUUGUAAUUUAGAGAGAUGGCCUCCCUUUGGGUGGUGUGUGCUAAAUUGGUUUUAUGGAUGAUGCUUUGGGUACCAUUUUUUUCUUCAUUACAGACAGUGCCUCACAGAUCAGUUGUGAGGGAGAGUGUCUUGAAUUGCCAAGUCAUAAACUUAGUAUCGGAGCCCAUCUUCCCUUACAGCAGGAACCUACAACAAAUAUAUUCUAGUGUUUCCAAACACUGUAACACUUUAAUGUGAAAUCUGGGGUUUAAAGAGCCCUAGGUCAGAAGAUGGGCUUUAUGAAUCCCCUGAAACUGUCAUGUAGAAUUGUGUGUGUUUUCCAUUACCAGAGGAAAGAAUCUAUUGCUAUCAUUACAUUCCUAAAGGGGUCUUUAUUCCAACUAUUGAGAACCAUUGACAUGAGUUCAUUCGCUUAUCAAAUGUUUAUUGAGUGUCUCUUACAUGCCAGCACUGUGUUACUAUAGAUGAAGGGGAGAGUUAUAAGGUGGCAAAUCACUGAGGGCGUAUCAUUGAUUACAACUUAGACUAGGAAAGAAUCUGAAGAUGGAAAUACAAAAUUAAUCCAGACACACUGAAGAAAACAAUUAGAAAAUGUAAAAAGCCUAAUUUCUUUCUUUCAUAUUGCUGGACACUUUUAUUUACACAUACACAAAAUUGAAACAAUACUAUAGAAAUGAAAACAAAGGCUGGGCGUGGUGGCUCAUGCCUGUAAUCCCAGCACUUUGGGAGGCUGAGGCAGGUGGAUCACGUGAAGGUCAGGAGUUCAAGACCAGCCUGGCCAACAUGGUGAAACCCUGUCUCUACUUAAUAUAUAAAAAAUUAGGCACGGUGGUGGGUGCCUGGAAUCCCAGAUUCUCAGGAGGCUGAGGUAGGAGAAUUGCUUGAAUCCAGGAGGCGGAGGUGGCAGUGAGCUGAGAUCGCACCAUUGCACACCAGCUUGGGCAAGAGUAAAACUUUGUGUCAAAAAAAGAAAAAGAAAGAAAAAAAAGGAGAUGGAAACAAAGAACAAAGCAAAGGAAAAGUUAUGUAGAUGUUUAGAUGAGAUGAAUAAAAUUCUCUCAGCUGCUGAUUAUGAAAAUAUAACCUAAUUUAUUUCCUCAAAAGUUUUUUUUAAUUUAAUUAUUAGGUGAGUUGACCCUGUGUGUAUCAUGUAACUUGUAAUUUGUGUUUUGGGAGUGAUAUUGAAUUGAAAGCUUGGCUUUCAUCAAGGUAAAAAUAAAGUCAUCUCUCCAACUCCAAUGAAUUACGAGGAAGGCUUCCAUCCUAACCUUCUUCGCCUUCAAUGCUUUCACUUGUCUUCAUGUUACAUGUGCGCACUUUGCUUCCUAACCCAGCCCUGACCCUGAGAGGCAGCAUGACGGGAGUGGAGGGGUGGGGUUUGGGAAGUCACUUCCAGCCAUUGUGGACCUUUAUGGAAACCUGGGCUCCACUUCACAGGAUGAAUCUGAACUGUAACCCUUGCUCAUUGGACUCAUGGCUCCAAUCUAAAUGGCAGGCUUUCCACUAGUCUUUGGGACUUGUGGUUUAUGUCUCUUUCUCAUGCACAUCAUCUUAUUCACAGUUCCUCAAGAAUAACAACUUUCUAUCUAAA